rnacentral:lncRNA from 1 species
AGAGAACUUGAGAGUCUUCCAAGCAGCAUUUCUCACAUGAAAUCUCUUAAAUACCUUGAUGUUUCUGGAUGCUCAAAGAUUGAGAAGUUUCCAGAAAGUUUGGAGGUUAGGAAGGAGCUAUCUGAUCUUUGUUUGGGUGGCACUGCAAUUAAGGCGCUGCCUGCUUCUAUUUUAAAUCUCACCAGUCUUGUUACUUUGAAGUUGAAUGAUUGCAGAGAACUUGAGAGUCUUCCAAGCAUCAUUUCUCACAUGAAAUCUCUUGGAUACCUUGAUGUUUCUGGAUGCUCAAAGAUUGAGAAGUUUCCAGAAAUUUUGGAGGUUAUGAAGGAGCUAUCUAUUCUUUGUUUGGGUGGCACUGCAAUUAAGGAGCUGCCUGCUUCUAUUUUAAAUCUCACCAGUCUUGAUACUUUGAAACUGAAUGAUUGCAGAGAACUUGAGAGUCUUCCAAGCAUCAUUUCUCACAUGAAAUCUCUUAAAUACCUUGAUGUUUCUGGAUGCUCAAAGCUUGAGAAGUUUCCAGAAAUUUUGGAGGUUAUGAAGAAGCUAUCUGAGCUUUGUUUGGGUGGCACUGCAAUUAAGAAGCUGCCUGCUUCUAUUUUAAAUCUCACCAGUCUUGGUAGGUUGAGGCUGAAUAAUUGCAGAGAACUUGAGAGUCUUCCAAGCAGCAUUUCUCACAUGAAAUCUCUUAAAUACCUUGAUGUUUCUGGAUGCUCAAAGCUUGAAAAGUUUCCAGAAAUUUUGGAGGUUAGGAAGAAGCUAUCUGAGCUUUGUUUGGGUGGCACUGCAAUUAAGGAGCUGCCUGCUUCUAUUUUAAAUCUCAUCAGUCUUGUUAGGUUGAGGCUGAAUAAUUGCAGAGAACUUGAGAGUCUUCCAAGCAGCAUUUCUCACAUGAAAUCUCUUAAAUACCUUGAUGUUUCUGGAUGCUCAAAGAUUGAGAAGUUUCCAGAAAUUUUGGAGGUUAGGAAGGAGCUAUCUGAUCUUUGUUUGGGUGGCACUGCAAUUAAGGAGCUGCCUGCUUCUAUUUUAAAUCUCACCAGUCUUGUUACUUUGAAUUUGAAUGAUUGCAGAGAACUUGAGAGUCUUCCAAGCAGCAUUUCUCACAUGAAAUCUCUUGAGUACCUUGAUGUUUCUGGAUGCUCAAAGAUUGAGAAGUUUCCAGAAAUUUUGGAGGUUAGGAACGUGCUAUCUAAGCUUUGUUUGGGUGGCACUGCAAUUAAGGAGCUGCCUGCUUCUAUUUUAAAUCUCACCAGUCUUGUUACUUUGAAUUUGAAUGAUUGCAGAGAACUUGAGAGUCUUCCAAGCUGCAUUUCUCACAUGAAAUCUCUUGAAUACCUUGAUGUUUCUGGAUGCUCAAAGCUUGAGAAGUUUCCAGAAAAUUUGGAGGUUAUGAAUGAGCUAUCUGAGCUUUGUUUGGGUGGCACUGCAAUUAAGGAGCUGCCUGCUUCUAUUUUAAAUCUCACCAGUCUUGUUACUUUGAAGUUGAAUGAUUGCGGAGAACUUGAGAGUCUUCCAAGCAUCAUUUCUCACAUGAAAUCUCUUAAAUACCUUGAUGUUUCUGGAUGCUCAAAGCUUGAGAAGUUUCCAGAAAUUUUGGAGGUUAGGAAGGAGCUAUCUAAGCUUUGUUUGGGUGGCACUGCAAUUAAGAAGCUGCCUGCUUCUAUUUUAAAUCUCACCAGUCUUGAUACUUUGAAACUGAAUGAUUGCAGAGAACUUGAGAGUCUUCCAAGCAGCAUUUCUCACAUGAAAUCUCUUAAAUACCUUGAUGUUUCUGGAUGCUCAAAGCUUGAGAAGUUUCCAGAAAUUUUGGAGGUUAUGAAGAAGCUAUCUGAGCUUUGUUUGGGUGGCACUGCAAUUAAGAAGCUGCCUGCUUCUAUUUUAAAUCUCACCAGUCUUGGUAGGUUGAGGCUGAAUAAUUGCAGAGAACUUGAGAGUCUUCCAAGCAUCAUUUCUCAGAUGAAAUCUCUUGAAUACCUUGAUGUUUCUGGAUGCUCAAAUCUUGAGAAGUUUCCAGAAAUUUCAGAGGUUAUGAAGGAGCUAUCUAUUCUUUGUUUGGGUGGCACUGCAAUUAAGGAGCUGCCUGCUUCUAUUUUAAAUCUCACCAGUCUUGUUACUUUGAAUUUGAAUGAUUGCAGAGAACUUGAGAGUCUUCCAAGCAGCAUUUCUCACAUGAAAUCUCUUGAGUACCUUGAUGUUUCUGGAUGCUCAAAGAUUGAGAAGUUUCCCGAAAAUUUGGAGGUUAUGAAGAAGUUUCUCACAUGAAAUGUACUAAAAAAUGGUCUCUUGCAUUAUAGGGAGAAUGAACAACUAUCCAAGUAUGGAGAUGCAAAGUUUGCCCGGGCAAUCAUGUUAGUAGAACUUAAGAAACUGAUUGAAGUGAAUUCGUUAUUCAGUGAUAUAUUGCAGUUCCCAAACCGUAAGCGUUCGAGGAUACCGACUCUCAUUAACCAAGGGUAAUUACUCUGAAACCACGACUUCGGUUAUACAAGAUUAGCUGUGCACUACAUUGUGACUUAUGGAUGUUGUUGCAUAUACUGGUAUUGUUCUAAUGAUUCCACGUAGCGAAUGAGUGCUUUUGUUUUCUGUUGCACUCAGAAUGAGAAUUUCAUCAAGUUGAUAGCACUAGCUAUCGUUUACAUACAUUGUACAUUGUCUAUAUGGCUAUCAAAAAGGGGGUUAUGGCUUGAAUUCUGUGGAAACAAAAUGAAGUCCUUAAUAUUGUUGCAAUGCCCAAAUCAUGUGCCUUUGUAAGAACCCAAGACCAUGUACAAGUAUAGAAACACUUUAUGUGAAUCACUCGUGUGGACAACCAAACCAUGCACAGGCACCAUCACGUGCAAACAACACCGCUGCUUGGAAUCAAAGAGGGUGCGGUCAUGAUGACGUCUCUGAGUAAGGAGCUCGUGUUCCUGAUCUUGCAGUUUCUGGAUGAGGAAAAAUUCAAAGAGACUAUUCUCCACAGGUAGGGCUGAUUUAUGUAUCUUUAAUUAAUGCGUUUUUGUUGGCACAAUUGCUAAUUAUGUACUGAUAUACUGCGUCAUUAAUUGCCUUUGUGAUGUAAAUACUAAAUAGGCUAGAGCAGGAAUCUGGGGUUUUCUUCAAUACGAAAUAUUUUGAGGAUGAGGUGCAUAAUGGCAAUUGGGAUGAAGUUGAGAACUACCUCUCUGGGUUCACUAAAAUGGAAGAUAACAGUUAUUCCAUGAAAAUCUUUUUCAAGAUAAGGAAGCAGAAGUAUCUCGAGGCAUUGGACAAGUAAGCUUACAGUAUUUCAAUUUCAGUUCAUUGAUAACUUUCAUGGGUUGGAUUGCCUGGCCGGUCUUGAGGAAUUAUAUGGUUGAAUUACAUAUAAUGUGCCUGUUUGGACUUUAUAGGCAUGAUUGGUCCCAAGCCUUGGAUAUUCUAGUAAAGGAUUUAAAGUUUUUUGCCACAUUCGAUGAACUUUCGGGGGAAAUCGCUCAGCUUUCGACAUUGUAAAACUUUAGGUAUGAGAAUUCCAUUAUAUGAAUAGUCUCUGUAGAAAACAGUUGUAGCAAAUGCACUAAAAAAUUCUCUUGCAUUAUAGGGAGAAUGAACAACCAUCCAAGUAUGGAGAUUCAAAGUCUGCCAGGGCAAUCAUGUCGGUUGAACUUAAGAAACUGAUUGAAGCAAAUCCCUUAUUCAGUGAUAAAUUUCAGUUCCCAAACUUAAAGCGUUCGAGGCUACGUACUCUCAUUAACCAAGGGUAAUUACUCUGAAACCACGACUUCAGUUAUAUAAGAUUAGCUGUGCACUUCAUUGUGACGUGCGGAUGUUGUUGCAAAUACUGGUCUUGCUCUAAUGAUUCCACGUACGGAAUGAGUGCUUUUGUCUUCUGUUGCAUUCAGAAUGAGCAUUUCAUCAACUAGCUAAUGAGUUUAUCGUUUAAGUACAUUGUCGAUUUGGAUAUCAAAAAGUUGGUUAUGGCUUGAAUUCUGUGGAAACAAAAGGAAGUCAUUAUUAUUGUUGCAAUGCCUAAAUCAUGUGCCUUAAUCUUAAUUUAGUAUAUGGUUCAUUACUGCUUGAUUCCAGCGUCUGGUGUCAAGAUUCUUUUAUUUGUUAGUGACCGGUGUCAGAAGUUUCCACACACCAGUAACAAUUAUUUGUGCAAAUUAUGACCUUUCUGGCAGCAUAAGCUUUUGUAAGAAUCCAAGUCCAGAUCUAGUUAUAGAAACACUUUAUGUGGACAACUGAACCGUGCACGGACAGCAUCACCUGCAAACAACCCGCUGCUUGGAUCCUUACCAAAAGCUGGAGGGUAUCCCCCACUAGGUGGGUGCACAUGAAGUAAGUAAUCUAGCUUAACUGUUGAUACACUACUUAAGCAGACACUUUGUUGUUAUUAACUUUUUGUUGAUGUGAUUGGCUUUGCAUUGUCAGCAUUUUCAACCUACACCAGCCCCGGUUCCAAUACCCCUUUCAACUGUUACUCAUCCAGCAUUUCUGAAGGAGGAGGUAUUGCUCUUGCUGGUCCAUCGAUAACAGGUAUUGCUUUUGUUAAUACUCAAGCACUUAGUUUUCAUAUAUCAUGAUCCCGGUAAGAUGGUUCUUGAUUGUGGUGUUUCAUGAUCCCAAUAAGAUGGUUUUUAAUUGUGGUGUUUCAUUACCUUGUAUAGAUGCCUUGAAACAUCCAAGGACUCCCCAACUAAUCCUUCUGUGGAGUACCCGUCUUGGGAUUCUUAUCAUGUUUCUAAAAGAACAAGGCUGAUGGGGCUGUCUACUGAAGUAUGUACAUAUUUGAUCUUUGAACGAUGAUCUCUAUAUUCGUCCACAUUUACCUUUUAUUUGUACUUGACAGUUUGUUCUUUAGUGCAGGUUAAUCUCCCUGUUAACAUGUUGCCAGUAACAUUUUCAGGACACGGUCAUGGUCAAGCUUUGAAUGCACCUGAUGACUUGCCUAAGAAUGUCACUCAGGACUUUGAAUCAGGGUUCAUCUCCGAUGAGCAUGGAUUUUCAUCCUUCACAGCGGACUUUUCUUCUUGGUUUGUAUUUUUUAUGUUUUCAAGUAGCUCCUUAUAUUUAUUUGUGUACCUUCGGGCUCUACAGCUAUGUUUGCUAAUUGGGUUUUUUUUUUCCCUUGGAUGCUUGGUUAUCAUAAUUGACUGUUGAUUGUUCUCAAUGUGAUGCUUCAGUUGGUACCAAUGUGGGGGACGUAGGCCUGUGGGAAGUUGGAUCUAGGGAGCGACUAGUUUUAAGGAACUUCAAAGUAUGGGAUCUUAGUUCAUGCUCAAUGCUCCUGCAGGUCUUUCCCUUUCUAUACUUGUUCAUGUGACAUAAAAAUUGUGUGCACUGUAUUCGUUGUGGAUGUAUGAGUUGGUUGACUGAAAAGUAAAUUUGUCUUUGUGAAACAGGCUGCUCUAGUUAAGGAUGCUGGUGUGUCUGUUAACCGUGUGAUUUGGAGCUCUGAUGGUGCUUUAUUUGGUAAGCUUGAGCAAACUCAAGUAACUGUGGCAAAUGUGAUAUGGCUUUAUCAAUUUUUAAGGAUUGAAUUAGAUCCUAAUCGUUGUAUAUCAUUUACAAUCCAAUCGUAGGUUGUUGGGAACAAUUGAGAAUCAUCUUUCUUACGAUGGGUCUGAUGGACGAUAAUUACUCUGAUCGAUUGCUUCCUGAUUGUUUGUGAUCACUGCCUGCUGUAAUCCCUGCAGAAAUCAUAUCUGUUAAAAUACCUUCCGUAUAUGCAUUUUCUGUAUACAAAGUCGACUUGUACAUUGAGGCUUUAUUAGCCUAUAUAAUGAAUGAAGAUCACAACCUCAAUUCACUGAGGAAUUCAACCACAUAGCUGUUAUGCCAUUAACUCCAUGAUGUAAAAUCAAUGGUCACAGGCACAAGUGCCGAUGAUGGGGGUUUUGUGGCUGUGGCAGUGGGUCUUCUCUAGGGUUUUUCUUCGCACACCCUAAGAGAGAGAAAAAUCAUGUUGAAAGAAAAUUUUCCAUUCAGAUUUUUCAUUUUUUAUUAAGAUAAUUAAAAUCUAAUUUAAAUAUGGGUUAUUGGCCCAAAAAAAUUAAUUCGGUUGACCAAAGUUUUUUUUUUUAUUAUUAUUAUUGGCGAGUCGUCUAUUGCUGUUUUAAGAAUAGCAUUAAAAUCAAAUAUGUUCUGUGACUGAAUGAAAUGCAAAUUACUCUAUGGUAAAGCUGGAGUGGAAAACACUGUUCAUUAACAGUGUUUUCACGAAAAUGCCCUUCAUUUUUUCCGUUAUUCCCUGCUUUUUUCUAACGUUGAACUUUAUGUUCAGAAAAUUGCCCUUAGUUACCUCUUGGCUGAGUGCUCACACGUGUUACGGGGGACGGGUGGAAUCUUUAUCAUCGUAGAAAUCGCUAAUCUCUUCGAUUUCUUUAUUUACUUGCUAACUGUGUUGACUUGACAACUGCUUUCGUUUCAUUUUUAGAAUGAAAAUUUGAAUUUUGUGCGUGUGUGCAGUGAAAGUCAUUAAAUCAUUGUUCAAAAAAAUCGACAGCGCUAAACGACUGGUCAUUAUCACAAUUAAUUUGUUGGUGUUUUAAAAUUGAGAAAUAACAUCUAGAUCUGUUUAGACAUCUGCUUUGCUUGCCCAAUGCUCGCUUAGCAUGCCUUGGUUGUGACCAUCACUUAUACAAAAAAUUAAUAAUUUUUAUUUUACAUUUUAUUUUUUAUUUUUUCAAUAAAAUGUAAGAGACUUGUUGAAUACUCGAAUGAACACUCAUUAUAUAUUUGUUCCAAUGUUCUCAAUAUAUUUUAAUACCUUAUAAUGAGGACUUUAAUGAAAAGGGCUUGGACUAAGACUAUUUUAAUAAAAAACCAGUCUAUAUUUUUAUUUAACUAAAAGCACCUCAAAAUUAACCAUAAGGACAUACCUGCAAAUUCUACACAGGCUGAAUUACAAAGCCCAAAAUGUUCAAAAUUAAGGUUCCAAAAUUAUCCCUAACAGAAAGAAUCUGCAGCCCGUUAAAAACUUCAAUAUAAUUACAACCCUACCCCCCACGUUGGCACGAUCUCACCGACUGAGAUUAUAUAACUUUUGGCACUGAAUCAAUGAUACAGAUUUCAAUUAAUUUUGAUCAAUGAUUGUUGCCCCACCGUUUCCUAUCUUCAGCAUAAAUUGGUUGUGUGUGUGUGUAUGUGUGUGUGUAUAAAAUACUACUGUCGGCUGCCUGGUGUAGGCAUAUUGUGACACACCCCGACCUAAAUCAGGACAUAUUGGUCAUCAUAUGGGUGUGACGUAACCAUGUGCACAGUGCGGAAGCAAUAGAGAUUUAAGGGAAUUGCGAAGGAAUAAAAACCAAACUACUAGCAAAACUAGUUAAGAUAGAGUGUUAGUGCGAGAUUAAACGUGAAAUACACAACCAGAGCAUAAAUAGUCUAAGUGCAGUCAAGCAGGACAAGUACUAAUAAUACAACACUCAAGGGUGAUCCUAUAUGGUGAUGUUGUAACCUGUAAAAAAAGUGAAGAAGCCUUGAUGUAGGACAGAAGUCUGAUUAUUUCAUGUGCAAUAAAACUAAAAGAAGGAAGCGGCGAGCAAUAAAGAAAAGUGAUUGGAGAAUUGAUAAUUCACGUGUUAAUAGAUUAUUUGCUACGGUCAUAUCUCAGAAGUUGAUGUUUUGAACUUUUCUUGUUGAAUGAACGCUAUUUUCAUUUCUGGUGCGGUUGUAGAAGAGGUGUUCAAUACUCCCACAAAAGUGGCUUGAGCCAUCUUUUGCAGAAAGUCAUUAAGACAGCAGCCUACUAAUAAAUGUAAUCUUUUGGGGUUUCAAGGGCUUUAUUAUAUGUUAGUUAUUUUCAUUUUAAUUUCCUAAGUCUUUUGAGUUUCCCAAAAGGUUGUAAAAGGCUUAUUUAAGCCAUGGCUUUCUAAUCAUUUCGACAUAUUUCAAUCAAUUAAUCAAAUUAUCCCUUGGGAUUUCUAUCAAUUGGUGGACUCUAGGGACUCUAGUAACUUUGUUCUACAAGGGAUUACGCUGGUAACCCUUUCAUUGCUUCGUGCUGCGUCAAUUGGUACCAGAGCGGGUUUCUCCCGUCUUGGCAUUGUUGAUUAUCCUAUUUGCUCUGUUCUAAUGGCAAUCGAUCGUGGGAAAAGGUAUACCUUAAGUGACGUUGAUCGCGAGGUUGUUACAAUAGAUGUGGUGUGCACAAAGGGAGCCAAUCUCAUAUAGUUGAUGUUGAAGAUAUUCCUAUUUUCUUCGGAAGUGAUUGCAUUGAAGGUUUUCUCUAGUGGGUUGAGGAUGUAGAAAAACUUUUCAAGACACAACCAAUUCCGGAAAGAGAUAUGGUGAAGAUGGUUACUUCUUGUUUAGAUGGUGACGUGGUUUUAUGGUGUGAUCAUAUGCAAGAAUCUAGGCGACAACAAGGUAAAUGUCCUAUCCAAACUUGGCGUUGGUUGAAGCGACUAAUUGUUAAGCAAUUCUUUUCCGAUUUAUACGAAUUGUAUUUGGAAAAGACGGGUCAACCAAUCAUCAGAAAAGAAGCUAAAGUGAUGGAGAGUGAUAUAUCAUUAUGCCAAGAAACGGUGGAGGCCAAGGUGGAAGAAAAAGAACAAGUAAUUUUCCUUGGUGAAAAUCUCGUUGAUGAAGAUCUCCGGAAACAUGACAACUCAGAAGUGGAGACUCAAGAAAUUCAAGGUAUGAGUGAAUCAAAAUUUGUCAUGACUUUGGAGAAUCAUGAGUCUAGUAAAUUGGAUCUAAAUUCUAUCGUUGACCAAACAAGAUAAUUGGGUAAGGAAGAAUAUUUUGAUUCCCAAUUGCCAUAUUUCAAUCUUAUUUAUGGAAUUAAUUUCAUGAUUAUUCCACCCAAGUAUACGGAAAGUUGGGCUUCUCAAGUUGAAGAACUUAUUUUCUUAACAAGGGAGUUAUCUACUAGCUAUCAAGACCGUUUCAAGACGAACUCGAGGUCGAGUUCCUUUCAAGUGGAGGAGUCUGAUGUAGGACAGAAAUCUGAUUAUUUCACGUGCAAUAAAACUAAAAGAAGGAAGCGGCGAGCAAUAAAGAAAAGUGAUUGGAGAAUUGGUAAUUCACGUGUUAAUAGAUUAUUUGGUACGGUCAUAUCUCAAAAGUUGAUGUUUUGAACUUUUCUUGUUGAAUGAACGCUACUUUCAUUUCUGGUGCGGUCGUAGAAGAGGUGUUCAAUUCUCCCACAAAAGUGGCUUGAGCCAUCUUUUGCAGAAAGUCAUCAAGACAGCAGCCUACUAAUAAAUGAAGUCUUUUGGGGUUUCAAGGGCUUUAUUAUAUGUUAGUUAUUUUCAUUUUAAUUUCCUAAGUCUUUUGAGUUUCCCAAAAGAUUGUAAAAGACUUAUUUAAGCCAUGGCCUUGUAAUCAUUUCGACGUCUUUCAAUCAAUUAAUCAAAUUAUCCUUUAGGAUUUCUAUCAACUGGUGGACUCCACUAACUUUGUUCUACAAGGGAUUACGCUGGUAACCCUUUCAUUGCUUCGUGCUGCGUCAAGCUUUUUCCAAAAAAAAAAACAAAAAUAAAUGCACCUAGAAAUUCAAAAUAAGAAAAAUAAAUAAUAGACUCAAUGUGGAGAUCAAUGUGAAGAUCAAUUGAGUGUUUCAGUUCUUACUUUACUCUUAGAUACUCGAUCGCUUAAUGGCUGCUGCUGCAUCUUCUUCUUCUAGCGGUUGCCACAAUUAAUUGCUGGCACCAACCUGUGGGUUCAAUUAGCAAUUACUGUGAGUAAAAACUGCAGUUUUACUUUAUGCUGCAACAUGCAGGGGACAAGUAUCUAAACCAGCUGCAACAUAUCAGACGGAGUUUGGAGGCUUGGCGUGGAAGGACGGAGUUCACAGGGUAAUUACUUUAUGCUGCAAGUUUAAUCCUAAUGCGCAUUUUGCAAUAGUUUUUAGCAGUGGAGCCUAAAGAUGGUCAGUUUUGGUCUAUUAUAUGCUCUACCUCUGUAUCUAAUUUCUUUUUUUGUUAUCAAUAAUGUUUUUUUGUAUCACCGUAAUUAAAAAAAAAAUGAUCCACCCCUAUAUGCUUCGGUGAAAUUCCUAAGAAUUAUAUUAGAACGCCACUUAAUAGUUUAUACGACGAUCUAAUAGAUUUUGGUCCUAAGUUGAAUCUUGUAAAUAGCUAAAUUAUUUACCACUGAUCUUGAAUAACUGUUUGUAAUUAUCCUUUCACAUUUGGGUCUUUUCCCCAAUCACUUUUGUUUAUUGUGGUUGUUGCCAUGCUACUUCUCAAAUGCUUCCACAUUUCAACCUAAAAUAAUGCAUUAUUGACAGUUGAAUAGUCAUUGUUAUAAUCUAUUGGAUAGUCUUUGUCAUUUUGUGUUUGUUUCUUUUCUCUUUCCCUCUCUUUCACUGCACCUUCCCUGUGGAGCCAAAAAUAUUCACUAGGCGACACGUGGACUUUUGGACAAAAGAGGACAAAAAUACCCUCGAGGCAUACUGGGUUUCCUACACGCGAGCAGUAGAGAAUCAUUUUUUCAACCAAGUCAAAAGUGCCCAAAAUAGGUAUCAACUUAAAACCUAAUUUAUUCAUAUAUUUCCCAUUUCAUUAUUUAGCUAAUCAAUUAGCUAAAUAAUAUACUUAUUCCUUUCAUAUUUCAUAAAAUCAUAAUAAUUGACUAAUUAAGGGAUUAAUUACCUAAUCAAUCCCUUAAUUGUCAAUUUGAAACAUCCACUCAAACCUAAAAACACAAGAGGGCCGGCUAUCCCAUUGAAAAACCUAAUCCAUUACCUUUUUUCUACCUUUUCCCACCAUUUCUUCCUUUUUAUUAGCCAAUUAUACAAAAAACCACCAAAACAUUCAUUUUAUGUUUAAUAGCCAAAUAAAUUGGCUAAUUAAACCUAAAAACCCUAGCCACCUCCUAUCCCUAUAAAUAUACUCCCAUUCUCACCAAAAAGCUAAUUCCAACACUUUGGCAAAAAUCCCAAAAUUCUCUAAACACUCUUUCUCUCUAAAUUCUAACUUUGGCAUCGGAGGUUCUUCGGCCAAAGCCCCCCCAUUCAUCGUGGGCGCGUGAGGCUCUUGGCCUUAACCUAAGGUGUUAAUUGUUUUGUAGGUGCAAAAUCGUCCAAGAUCGAGGAGGAAGAAAUUUGCAUCCACAAAUUGGUGCUUUCAUUGAGAGUUGAAAUCCAUACUCGUAGAAGACUCUCGCACAAAAAAGGUUUUUUCUUUAUUUUCUAGUCCAUUUGAAUAUUUUUCAUACGUUUUUAUUAUUAGAAUUUUUUACUUGCAAAGGUUCUUUGAUAAAACGUAUAAGCGAAAUAUAAUGGCUAGAAAUUUAGAAAAUUCCACAAGUGAAAAUUCUAAUGUUCAAGAAAUGGGAUUGCGGAGAUCCGUGAUGCUAAAUGCGACAAUAAGGGGAGCGGCAUCAUCAUCACGAGCUUCAACCAUGGGAACCACCGUGGUGGCUACUUCGGUAGCUACCUGCGGCGAGGUCCAUGGUGCCUUCACCACGGCCACCAUGGGAACCACCGCGGUGGCUACUUCGGUAGCCACUCGUGGCGAGGUCCAUGGAGCCUUCACCACGACCCGGAGAUCCGUAAGGCAAAAUGCGACAAUAAGGGGAGCGGCAUCAUCACCACGAGCUUCCACCAUGGGAACCACCGUGGUGGCUACCUCGGUAGCCACCCACGGCGAGGUCCAUGAUGCCUUCACCACGGCCACCAUGGGAACCACCACGAUGGCUACUUCGGUAGCCACUCGUGGCGAGGUCCAUGGAGCCUUCACCACGGCCCGAGCCGUGCCAUCCAAGGCUCACGGUACCAAGACCACGAUCCAAGCCGUGUCAUCCAAGUUCACGUGGACCCAAGCCCAAGCCUCGCAUUCACAUGCACCGCGCAUUGAGCAGCCUGCUCCCGUGAUCCAGCCUGCUCCCGUCGAGCAACCCACUCCCGUGGCCCAGCCUGCUCCUGCCAAGCAGCCCACUCCCGUGGCCCAGCCUACUCCUGCCAAGCAGCCUACUUCCGUGGCCCAGCCUGCUCCCGCCAAGCAACCUGCUCCUGCCAAGCAGCCUGCUUCCGUGGCCCAGCCUGCUCCCGCCAAGCAACCUGCUCCUGCCAAGCAGCCUGCUCUCGUGACCCAGCCUGCUCCCAACGAGCAGCCCACUCCCGACGAGCAGCCCACUCUCAAGGCCCACACUGCUCCCGUGGCUUUCCAAGCAGCCCAAGUCGGCCCAAAACUAUCUCAACCAUCUGGACCUACCAUCGAGCCGGGGGCAUUCUCACCACAUUUUUUUGCGGAUUUGACAUUUCCCAACUCAAAUCUCGCGCCCGGAGUCUACCACCCUUCCACUGCUCAAUGAGGCGCAUUCAUUCCAAGCUCUUCCAAUCCAAAUGGUGAACAACAUUUGUCUCGACAAGUCAUAGAGUUGACGAGCGCCCUUGCACAACAGACAACUUUGGUGAAUCAACUUUUGCAACGCAUCGGGAUCCAACGUGCCCCGGACGAGGUAUCCCGAAGUAGGACAAGGGCAGACGAACCUUUCCAGCAGCAUCCCAGCAAGCAGCCAUUCGACCAGCCACGAGCUGAACGUUCAGGCAGUGUACAUUCCCGAUUGGGCCCCCGAGAUAGCGUAUACUCCCGUUUUAGCGCGCGGAUGAGCGUGUACUCUCGACUAAGCCAACGGAUGAGCAUACAUUCACGGUUGGGGUCACACUUCGAUAGUCAACAUGAGCAACCUUCCAGACAAAUUGUUCAUUCGCGGCUAAGCCCACAAGGAGCAUCAUCCACCUCACAUCAGAAUAGGCAGCACGACGGACGGAGAGAAGCAGUCACUCAAUCCAGCUCAAGUUCAACCAGCAGCCUGCGAAGAACUCGCUCGCCUGCUAGGAAUGCACCAUAUGCACUGCAUCUGCGGCAUAGACGAGUCAAACACAUGGAAGAGCAGCCUAGACCAGCAAGUCAUGGCUGGGGGCAGCCGAGAGCUGCACUACCCCAACAAAGGCAAAUUCAGGAAGAAGUAGAGAGACUCUUGACCAAGCGAUUGCAUGAUUUCCAACGCAAUGAGGUCACCGACGAGGCACUACGACGGAACAUGACCAACAUAAGCAGGUCACCCUUCACGGACGAGAUCGAGCAGGCAGAGCCUCCACGAGAGUUCAGCAUGCCACAUUUCACAUCUUUCAAAGGGGAUGAAGACCCGGAGAGACACUUAAAGCGCUACCGAAGCGCGAUGAUCCUUUAUCGAAACAACGAUGAGCUCAUGUGCAAGAUAUUCGCCACCACUCUACAAGGCGAGGCGCAAGAUUGGUUCUACACCUUGCCGCCACAAUCCAUCCGGGAUUUCUACGAACUUUCUUUGGUUUUCACCAAAGAAUAUUCAUCCUAUCGCUCGAUCAAAAAGAAGUCUGAUCAUUUGUUCAACGUCAAGAAGAACCCAAAGGAGGCGCUUCGCGACUAUGUGAGGAGGUUCAAAGUAGAGAAGGCAAAAAUAGUCGGAUGCAACGACUCGAUAGCUAGAGCAGCCUUCCAAAAAGGACUUCCAGCAAACCACCCGCUAUUCGGAAAAUUGAUCAUGAAAGAAGAUCUAACUCUGGCAGACUCUUUUGCUUUGGCGGAGAAGUAUGCACUUUGGGAUGAGGCUCGCCAAUGCACAUUCAAGGACUUGAAGAAGUACCCGACAUCACCUCCCUAGAAGCAGCGGAGGACUUAUUCACAUGUUUGACGUUAUCUAAAGUAGCAAUAAGCUCUACCAUCAUGCGAGAAGAUAUGGGGGCCUGACUACCUGUAUUCCACAGUUACCUGUAGUCUACAGUUCAAAAGCUCUCCUCGAUGUUAUUAAAAAUUCAAAAGUUAACUUUGGCGAUAGUUGUUGCAACCUAGAAGCACAAAUUUUACUUUCAAACGCAUGCAAUCAUCCUAAUGACGUACUAUUCUGCCCAAUCCAGACGCGCGACGAUAAAGGCGUAGACCCUGGCGGAUGUAAAGUUUUCUGACGAACGCAACACUGGAAAGACACACUUGAAAGCAAGUUUUGUCCUCGUCACCCUGAAAGAUUCUACAUAGGAGCAACAUGUACCGGCAGUUGAGUACCAUUUCUUGCUGCGCAUCAUACGGCCCUAGCCGACCCUUGCUCAAUGAUUCAACUCUAGAGUGGCCCAAUACCGGCAGUUGAGCAUCUCCUGUUGCGUAUGACAUGGCCCCAUCUCCACAGCUCCCUACUGCGCCUUCACGCCGAGCCUAGGUGACGCAACAGAGCGGCUCAACGAUGCCUCAGAAGUAGCCGAGCACACUCUAGCUGCGCAUACUCCACCCGAUGGAGACUUCUGGCAUUUGCAUGUCGACGGCGCAGAAAAACCUUCAUCACUGCCGGCAGAGAAGGCUCCAAAAAGAUGGAUCCCAUCUGGGAAGGUCCGUACAAGAUCAGCAGAGUAGGGGGCUAGAGUAAUUACACCCUCACCACCAUGAAGCGGUAAAAAGAUUGAAAAAAAAAUGGAUGGCCUACAAUCUGAAGAAGUACCAUGUGUGACCUCCCGCUACAUCAAAACCCGAAAACUCAAUAAGCUCGACGGGCACCACCUCACAAGCUGAGGAUUAUCCAGUUGUUAUGCAGUUCCUACCUUACAGCUAAAGUUCUCGUUCGUUUCACUCGUUUUUCAAUGAGGAAUUUAGAAGUAAUCACAACUUGGCUUGGCUGCAUGCUUACAACAAUUAAUCACUCUUGCACUUCAAAAGAAGACUGCACCCUUCUUAGGGACUCAUCGCAGGAAUUGCGCCCCCCGAGGGACCAACCAUGCUCUCCAGUGUGAGAGGGUAAACCAAUUCUCCGACACCCAUAUGGGUCAGCUCUCCAAGACGGGAGGAUAAACUUUACACUCCGAAUAUCCAGACGUGGAUGAGCCUGGCUGCCCUAGUAUAACUAGAUGCACGAUGGCUUGCGCCGGGAUUCCUAGAAGUAGCCGCAAUGGUCUUUUUCAAGGUUUAGCUAACUGAAGGAUUUUGGGUCUCUUGGCCUAAUCCGUGGGGAACCGGGCCCUAGAGACGGAGAGGGCACAUUACGCAGUAUAUCCGAUGGACGGCUGCCCUGGAAUCCUAAAGCUGCUACCGAGUGCACUAAGGUAGCCUACGGAUUCCGGAAGACUGCCUACGGCUUGCCCUUCGAGCAGUGAAGCCGCACUAGACUUAUACAACCGCACAUUCUUGUGAAAGGUUAGACAAGCUAGCGCGCAUAUAUGAAGUUUUAUCCACUGCCGACAUGCUACGUAGUCGAUAAGCUUCACCCCUGCCAAGCGCGGAACAACCUACACCAAGUCCUAAAGUGUGUGUGAUACUUGCUACGCAACCUACGGAAUUGAAGAAAGUCAAAGUUAACAGCCUAGUGGUUACGCGGACUUGUCUGCUUCUCUGUAAGUAAGGCAUCCGGCUGCCAACCCUAUGGCUAACAACUUUGCAAAGUUCUACACCAACACCUACGGCUGCAUAGGCUACGCGAGUUUGUCUGCUUAUAAAAAAGUAGCAUGCCUGCCACUGGUCUAUCAAGUCUAAAUGUUAGGGCAUGAACAAAAGAAGUGAAGAUGAAGAAAAACGAAGGAAAACAUGUUUAUAAACAACUAGCAAAGGUUGAAGGAGUUCAAGCAAAACAAAAGCUACAAGGAAAAACAAAGAAAAUCCUAAAGGCUACCUAAAAUACUACACUAGCAGCUUGGACAUUCCACGACUACUCGGUCGCCACACCUUCAACAGCCGUAACGCUCUUAGCAGCGGCAUCAUCCGGCGCUUCACCCCCGGCUGCCCCAGUCUGGGCACUAACUUCUCCAACUACUUCACCAAUGGAAGCCUUAAAAGUAAAAGCAAGCAAGUCUUCCGGAGAAAUAGAGAAGCUCAUCCACUUUCUUCUUAGCAUAAGUAGCGAAACGAAGCUCAUAAAUUGCAAGCUUAAGAUCUUGAAUCUGAGGCGAAUCAAUCUCAGCAGCAAAGGGAGCAGGCUUUGGCGCCACUUUAGCAGCAGAGUCCACCUUACCACUUUUCAUAAUAGCAAGUCUCUACAAAGGUGAACCGGACUUGGCUCCCAAAGAACGUCCUACAGACUUCGGCACUGGGGGCAUGAUAAAACCUUUACGCUGAGUAAUCUUAUCCACAAUUGUACUAGCCAUUCUCAACAUGGAAGACGCCACAUGCUCAGAUCUAGCAGCCUUACAUUUCUUCCCAUUGGAAAAUCAUGUCAAUCACAUACCUCUCGGUAGCAAGCGGACCCUCAUGAGCAGCAGAAGAAGUCUUCAGUUUUUUCUUAACUGGCAUCUCAUGAGCAGGCGGGGAAGAUCUCUUCUUUCCAUCUUCAUUCAUAGUAAGCUCCACGACAGCGAUCAGACGAGCCAAUGCAUCCGCCUUGAUCCUCUUUACCUCUUCUUUCUGGAGCAGCCCACCUUUCUUUCGGCAAAGAGGACUAAGCAGCCAACGACAUUCAUGGUACUCAGCAGGGGAGCUCAACCCAGCAUUCCAACAGGCAGGAGGCCUGCAUGCCCAACAUUCCAGCAGCCCAUGAGACCCGCAAUCUCCUUAUUUCUCUCAAUCACCAGCCUAGCCCGAGUCAGGUCCAAGAGCCCAAAGGACAUGAGCCAUGCGGCUCGCCUAGCACUGCGCCCCAGCGCCACAAUCCGCGACCCUAGUUGCACAAGCUGCCUUUUGGCUCAAGCCAAGCCAAGCUGCCCAAGCAGUGGUCCCUGCCACAACAUCUCCUCGGCCCAUGCCGAGCCAACUCCUGGCCCCUGCCAGCCGAUGUGCCGCACCACCCCGACGGCUGCCCCGCAAUAGCACUAUCCAAGAAUAAGGCAAGAAAAAUUAAAUUUUUCUUACAUCGGUGCGGCACGAAGAAGACGAAGAAAGCAACGAAAGACGGUCCUUUGCACGGGCAAGAUGUAGAAGAUUGCUAGAGGAGGGGGAACAAAUAUCCUCUAAGCUAUCUCUCUCUUGUAGGGUAGAAUAAAUCGCUCUCCAAAGUUGAUUUAAUAACCCACUUAAGGUGGACUUAAAUAGGCUUUGAGAGAAAUUUAUUUCCCUUUCCUAGAAGGAUCUAAUUUUCCUAUUAAAGAGAGAAAUCAACAUCAAAAUAGGAAGCAGUCUUAAGUUUCCUAAAGCAAGAAGAUCUCUACACCUGCUGCCCUUUUUUGCGAGCAGCCCAACAGGUGUGGGGGCAUUUGUGGAGCCAAAAAUAUUCACUAGGCGACACGUGGACUUUUGGACAAAAGAGGACAAAAAUACCCUCGAGGCAUACUGGGUUUCCUACACGCGAGCAGUAGAGAAUCAUUUUUUUCAACCAAGUCAAAAGUGCCCAAAAUAUGUAUCAACUUAAAAACCUAAUUUAUUCAUAUAUUUCCCAUUUCAUUAUUUAGCUAAUCAAUUAGCUAAAUAAUAUACUUAUUCCUUUCAUAUUUCAUAAAAUCAUAAUAAUUGACUAAUUAAGGGAUUAAUUACCUAAUCAAUCCCUUAAUUGUCAAUUUGAAACAUCCACUCAAACCUAAAACACACAAGAGGGCCGGCUAUCCCAUUGAAAAACCUAAUCCAUUACCUUUUUUCUACCUUUUCCCACCAUUUCUUCCUUUUUAUUAGCCAAUUAUACAAAAAACCACCAAAACAUUCAUUUUAUGUUUAAUAGCCAAAUAAAUUGGCUAAUUAAACCUAAAAACCCUAGCCACCUCCUAUCCCUAUAAAUAUACUCCCAUUCUCACCAAAAAGCUAAUUCCAACACUUUGGCAAAAAUCCCAAAAUUCUCUAAACACUCUUUCUCUCUAAAUUCUAACUUUGGCAUCGGAGGUUCUUCGGCCAAAGCCCCCCCCCAUUCAUCGUGGGCGCGUGAGGCUCUUGGCCUUAACCUAAGGUGUUAAUUGUUUUGUAGGUGCAAAAUCGUCCAAGAUCGAGGAGGAAGAAAUUUGCAUCCACAUUCCCGGCCAGCGGUUUGUUGUUUCUCAAGUCCAUAUGCGAACAUUAUUAUAUGGAAAAAUUUAUUCCAUAUUUUAGACUGCUAAGAUAACAGCGAUUGCAUACAAUGAAAUCACAAUUAUAAAGAAAUUGAAAGUUGUAAUCAAGAUAUUGCGGUUUACUCUGCUAUAGGUAUGAACAAUUGCGAGACAGAUCAGCAAGAAAGUGAUGCCAAGCAAUUGAAGUUUAUUCCUUUCAAUGUAAUUGUGACAGAGAAGCCAAUCAAUGAGAUAUACUGUGAGCUAAAUGUAUCUGGCAGGAUUCUAGAAUUGAAUAAAAAAAUAGAGUAAAUUGUACAAAUGGUCCCUCAACUUUAAUCAAAUUGGAGCAAUGGUCCCUCAACUAAAAAUUCAUUACUUUUGAUCCCUCAACUUAUCAAAACGUGCAGCUAUGGUCCCUCAACUAAAAAUCCAUUACCAUUGGUCCAUGAACUUUAAUUUAAGUGGAGAAAUAGUCCUUUAACUUUAACCCAAUUGUAGCAAUGGUCAUUCCAAUAUAACUCGUUUUGACAAGUUUUUUGACAUAGUUGACGAAAAUAACCAUAAUUAUACACUUUGAUAAGUUAAGGAACCCUAAUUAUAUAAAUGGUCAUUCCAACAUAGCUUAUUUUGACAAAAUUGAUGAAAAUGACUAUAGCUACCCAUUUUGAUAAGUUGAGGGACCAAUGGUAAUGGAUUUUUAGUUGAGGGACAAUUUCUCCAAUUUAAUUAAAAUUGAGGGACCAUUGGUACAAUUUACUCAAAAAAAUAAGGUAUCGUAGUGUGUAUCAAUUUGAAUUAACUAAUAAAAUACGGCUAGGGAAACUCGUGAUCCGGUCGUCAUCGACUCAUUGACUUUAACAGCUAGAGAAGAAACGCGUGAUCUACUCGUCAUUGACUCAUUACUUCCUUUGUAGCUCAGUGUGAAGAUCAGUGUGAAGAUCAAUCGAGUGUUUCAGUUCUUACAUUACUCUUAGAUACUCGAUCGAUUAAUGGCUGCUGCUGCAACUUCUUCGUCCUCUGGCUCUCCUUGGAAAUACGACGUGUUCCUCAAUUUCAGAGGGGAAGACACUCGCAGGUGCUUCGUCAGCCACCUCUACAAAGCCCUGAAUCAGAAAGCAAUCAACACCUUCAUUGAUGCCGAAGGGCUCCGAAAGGGCAACGACCUUUCGCAGCUACUGACGGCGAUCCAAGAUUCGCGCGUUUCAAUCGUGGUUUUUUCUCAAAAUUAUGCUUCUUCCACAUGGUGCUUGAAGGAGCUCGUCCAAAUACUGGAUUGUAUGGAUCGAAAGAACCAGAUAGUGGUGCCCCUUUUUUACGAUGUGGAUCCUUCUCAUGUCCGCAAAGCAGAGAGCAGCUUUGCGGAAGCUUUUGCCAAGCAUGAAGGCCAUUCUAACGCCGACAUGGAAGAGGUGCGGAGCUGGAGGUCCGCUCUUACUCGAGCCACCAAUUUAUCCGGCUGGGAUUCGAAAAAUUACGAGUAAUUUUUAGCUAUAGUAGUUUCAUAAUUUGGGAUUUUUUUUUCUUUUAACGUUUCGUUUUAAUUCUUUGUCAUGUUUUCCUAGCAAAUGUAUGACUAUGUAUACGGUUUGCACUUGCACUUGAUCUUACUCUUACAAUAAUGUUUUUCUUAUUCCACAGGGAUGAUGCCAUGCUCAUUGAGGAAAUUGUAGAAGAUAUUUUUCAGAAAUUGAUCCGCACCUCAUCAAGUAAAGACGAUGACUUGGUUGAAAUGGAUUCCCGCAUGCAUGAAAUGGAGUUGCUAGUACAACCCUCUCCUGAAAUGGACGACGUUCGUGUUGUUGGAAUAUGGGGUAUGGGUGGUAUUGGCAAAACAACCAUAGCUAGAGCUGUUUAUGAGAAAAUUGCUUGUCAAUUUGAAGCUUGUUGCUUUCUUGACAAUGUCAAGGAAGAGUUCACUUGUGGUGCCGUACAUAUGCAGGAAAAGUUUCUCUCUAGAAUCUUGAAUGAAAAGGUGCAGAGUUUAGGCACAUUAGAUCGAGGUUACAGAAUGAUUUUGAAAAGGUUACAGAUGAAAAAGGUUUUGAUUGUUCUUGAUGAUGUUGACGACUUAUUUCAAAUUGAAACCUUACUUGGAAAGCAACAUUCAUUUGGUGGUGGGAGUAGAAUCAUUCUCACCACUAGAGAUAAGCUAGUACUAAGUCGAGCUGAUACAAUCUACAGCCCCAAGGUUCUAAGUGGUGAUGGAGCUUUGGAACUCUUUAGCCAGUAUGCCUUUAGAACAAAGCAACCCAAAAGAGACUAUGACCAUCUCUCAAGCCGUGCUGUACGAUAUGCUCAAGGUCUCCCUUUAGCACUUAAAGUCUUGGGGGCUUUUCUUUAUAAUAAAUCUGUGCAGGAGUGGGAGGAGAUGCUAGAGAAAUUAAAGAAAAUCCCGCAAAGGGGAAUUCAUGAUGUGUUAAGAACAAGCUUCGAUGGACUAGAUGAUUCUGAGAAGAACAUAUUUCUGGAUAUUGCAUGUUUCUUUAAAGGAGCGGAAAAAGACAACGCAACAAAGGUUCUGGACAGUUGUGGCUUUUAUCCCCAUACUGGGCUAAGAGUUCUAAUUGAUCGAGCUCUUAUAACUGUCUCACGGGAAACACUGAAGAUGCAUGAUUUACUAGAGGAAAUGGGUCGGGAAAUCGUCCGCCAAGAAUCUAUUAAAGAGCCUGGGAAACGCAGUAGGUUGUGGAAUUAUGAAGAUGUUCAUCAUGUGCUAACUCAAAAUACGGUGCGAUAUGUUCAUGACCUUCUUUUUCAUAUGUAAAUCUUUAGAGUAAACAACUUUAACUUUGAUCAAAAUGCAAUUCAUAGAAACAUGCAUUAACUUUAUAAUGUUAAAUAAGAUUCAGGAUAUCUACAGUCACAUAAUUUGAACUAUUUGUUAUCCAGGCUACGGAAGCUGUUGAAAGCAUAAUCCUUGACCUUUCAUUCUCAAAACCAAAAGUGGUAUACUUCAGUUCCGAAGCUUUUGUUAAAAUGACGAAAUUAAGAUUGCUCAAAAUCCACGGCGACAAUGGAUAUUCAUGUGAGAAUUUAAGGUUUGUUCUGCAUGAGUUAAGAAGUCUCAUAUGGAAGCAUUUCCCCCUAAAGUCUUUACCGUCCAAUUUUAUUGCGAAGAAUCUUGUUGAGCUUGACAUGCAAAAUAGUCUCAUUGAACAUCUUUGGGAAGGAGCCAAGGUAAAAACUUCACUUGCAUAUAUUUCUUUUAAAUGGUUUAAUUCUUAGAUGCCUUACCAUAUACCUUGUUUUCCUUGAUGUGUUAUACCAGCCUCUGGAAAAUUUGAAAAUUAUCAACUUAACAAGUUCUCCUCACCUGAAGAAAACUCCUGACUUCACGGAGACGAAAAAUCUUGAGAAGGCAGUUUUUCGAAGUUGUACAAGUUUAUUUGAGGUUCACCCAUCCAUUUCAUCUCUCAAAAAGCUGGUUCUUUUGGAUUUGGAAUAUUGCAUAAAUCUUAAGAUUUUUCCAAGCAAGAUUGUUAUGAAAUCUCUUAGAACCCUUAAACUUUCAUGGUGCGAAAACCUCGAUAAGUUUCCCGAAGUUUCAGAUGUUAUGCAGGAUCUAUCAGAGCUUUAUUUAGAUUAUACUGAAAUUAAAGAACUGCCCUCGUCAAUUUGUAAUCUUACGAGGCUUGUUACCUUGAAUCUAAACGGUUGCAAAAAGUUUAAGAGUCUUCCAAGGCGUAUUUCUCACUUGAAAUCUCUUAAAAGCCUCCAUGCUUCUCAAUGCUCAAGUCUUGAGAAGUUUCCAAAAAUUUCAGAGGCUAUGAAUAAUCUAUCUGAGCUUUAUUUGGGUGACACUGCAAUUAAGGAGCUGCCUGCUUCUAUUUUGAAUCUCACCAGUGUUGUUACUUUGAAUCUGAAUGAUUGCAGAGAACUUGAGAGUCUUCCAAGCAGCAUUUCUCACAUGAAAUCUCUUCAAUGCCUUGAUGUUUCUGGAUGCUCAAAGCUUGAGAAGUUUCCAGAAAUUUCAGAGGUUAUGAAGAAGCUAUCUGUGCUUUGUUUGGGUGGCACUGGAAUUAAGGAGCUGCCUGCUUCUAUUUUAAAUCUCACCAGUGUUGUUACUUUGAAUCUGAAUGAUUGCAGAGAACUGGAGAGUCUUCCAAGCAGCAUUUCUCACAUGAAAUCUCUUGAAUACCUUGAUGUUUCUAGAUGCACAAAGCUUGAGAAGUUUCCAGAAAUUUCAGAGGUUAUGAAAAAGCUAUCUGGGCUUUAUUUGGGUGGCACUACAAUUAAAGAGCUGCCUGCUUCUAUUUUAAAUCUCACCAGCCUUGUUACUUUGAAGCUGAAUGGUUGCAGAGAACUUGAGAGUCUUCCAAGCAGUAUUUCUCACAUGAAAUCUCUUCAAUACCUUGAUGUUUCUAGAUGCUCAAAGCUUGAGAAGUUUCCAGAAAUUUCAGAGGUUAUGAAGAAGCUAUCUGGGCUUUAUUUGGGUGGCACUACAAUUAAAGAGCUGCCUGCUUCUAUUUUAAAUCUCACCAGCCUUGUUACUUUGAAGCUAAAUGAUUGCAGAGAACUUGAGAUUCUUCCAAGCAGCAUUUCUUACAUGAAAUCUCUUCAACGCCUUGAUGUUUCUGGAUGCUCAAAGCUCAAGAAGUUUCCAGAAAUUUCGGAGGUUAUGAUGAAGCUAAUUGAGCUUUGUUUGGGUGGCACUGCAAUUAAAGAGCUGCCUGCUUCUAUUUUAAAUCUCACCAGCCUUGUUACUUUGAAGCUAAAUGAUUGCAGAGAAAUUGAGAGUCUUCCAAGCAGCAUUUCUCACAUGAAAUCUCUUGAAUACCUUGAUGUUUCUGGAUGCUCAAAGCUCGAGAAGUUUUCAGAAAUUUCAGAGGUUAUGAAGAAGCUAUCUGUGCUUUGUUUGGGUGGCACUGCAAUUAAGGAGCUGCCUGCUUCUAUUUUAAAUCUCACCAGUCUUGUUACUUUGAAUCUGAAUGAUUGCAGAGAACUGGAGAGUCUUCCAAGCAGCAUUUCUCACAUGAAAUCUCUUGAAUACCUUGAUGUUUCUAGAUGCUCAAAGCUUGAGAAGUUUCCAGAAAUUUCAGAGGUUAUGAAAAAGCUAUUAGGGCUUUAUUUGGGUGGCACUACAAUUAAAGAGCUGCCUGCUUCUAUUUUAAAUCUCACCAGUCUUGUUACUUUGAAUCUGAAUGAUUGCAGAGAACUGGAGAGUCUUCCAAACAACAUUUCUCACAUGAAAUCUCUUGAAUACCUUGAUGUUUCUAGAUGCUCAAAGCUUGAGAAGUUUCCAGAAAUUUCAGAGGUUAUGAAGAAGCUAUCUGGGCUUUAUUUGGGUGGCACUACAAUUAAAGAGCUGCCUGCUUCUAUUUUAAAUCUCACUAGUCUUGUUACUUUGAAGCUUAAUAAUUGCAGAGAACUUGAGAGUCUUCCAAGCAGCAUUUCUCACAUGAAAUCUCUUGAAUACCUUGAUGUUUCUGGAUGCUCAAAGCUCAAGAAGUUUCCAGAAAUUUCAAAGGUUAUGAAGAAGCUAUCUGAGUUUUAUUUUGGUGGCACUGCAAUUAUGGAACUGCCUGCAUCACUUUAAAUUCUCACCAGUCUUGUUACCUUGAAGCUGAAUGACUGUAGAGAACUUGAGUUUUCCAAGCAGCAUUUCUCACUUGAAAUCCCUUAAAAUACAUUGAUGUUUUAGGAUGCUCAAAUCUUGAGAAGUUUUCAGAAGUUUUCAGAAAUUUCAGGAUGCUCAAAUCUCAAGAUUCUGCCAAGCAGCAUCUGUCGACUCUAGUCCCUUAGAUAUGUUUGUCUUUCUGGUUGCAUAAGGUUUGAGGUAUUUCCAAGUAUUGAAGAAAUUAUGGAAGGAUUAAGAGAGCUUCACUUGGAUGGAACAUCUAUUAAAGAACUUUCCCUGUCAAUUGAAUAUCUUCAAGGGCUGGUGUUAUUAAAUCUGAGAAACUGCAAAAACCUUGUUCAUCUUCCAGACAAUAUCUGUAAUUUGGGAUGCCUGAGAGAUCUCAAUCUCUGCGGGUGCUCAAACCUUUUUAAGUUGGCUGUGAACUUGGAGAAGAUAGAAUCCUUGUGGGACGCUGGAGUAGAAAUUGUUGAGCACAGGGAUUCUAUUCUAUUCUUUUAACUUGUGAAUUGUAAUAUAUAAUAUACAUACUCCCAAUCCCUGUUUUACUUUUGGACACGCUUCAGAUGUUUUACGCAGCGAAUAUAGAGAAAUGUGGGCACUGUUUUCACAAUGUUCUCUGUUCUUCUUGGUGUGCUCUGCUUCCAUGAUGUGUCUUGAAUUUCUUGGAAUAGAGGACUGUCGUGCUCAUAAAUUCUUCUGGAGAAAAUAAUUACUAUACAGAAGCAAUAUCUCAAAUUGGAAGCUUGCAGGAAACUGCAAUCGAUACAAGAGCUUUCACCAAGUAUAACUUACAUGCGCCUGAUUUCACAUUUUUGGAAACAGGUACAACUUUCAACACCAUGAUGAACUCCCUGAGCCGAAAUACACAUGUCAAUACCAUGAUAAUGAAGAGUGCUUUCUGAAUUUUGAUCACAAUGGUUAACUGCGCUAGUGAAGAGAAAGUUACAUGCAACUGGAAUGUUAAUGUAGCGGUGCACAAAACUUGUCCCAUUGUGUUUUUAAUUUUUAAUUUCCACAUGGAUGUCGUGUUAUUGAGUUUAGGACACCGAUCACCCUGGCAUCCCCAAUACAAGUAAGUUCUUCAUGUGUAGGCAUGCCAAGUCCAUACUUGCAGAUCACCGAGAAUCAGUUUCAUUCAUAUUUUCUUGCAUUUGCCACAAUAACUACAUUGGUAAUUGCAGGCACCAACCUGUAUUUUCAAUUUGCAAUAACUACAUUCAUAAUUUGGGAUUUUUUAUUUUAUUUUAACGUUUAGUUUUAAUUCUUUGUCAUGUUUUCCUAGCAAAUGUAUGACUAUGUAUACGGUUUGCACUUGCUCUUGAUCUUACUCAUACAAUAAUGUUUUUCUUAUUCCACAGGGAUGAUGUGAAGCUCAUUGAGGAAAUUGUAAAAGAUAUUUUUCAGAAAUUGAUCCGCACCUCAUCAAGUAAAGACGAUGACUUGGUUGAAAUGGAUUCCCGCAUGCAUGAAAUGGAGUUGCUAUUACAACCCUCUCCUGAAAUGGACGGCGUUCGUGUUAUUGGAAUAUGGGGUAUGGGUGGUAUUGGUAAAACGACCAUAGCUAGAGCUUUUUAUGAGAAAAUUGCUUGUCAAUUUGAAGCUUGUUGCUUUCUUGACAAUGUCAAGGAAGAGUUCACUUGUGGUGCCGUACAUAUGCAGGAAAAGUUUCUCUCUAGAAUCUUGAAUGAAAAGGUGCAGAGUUUAGGCAUUUUGGAUCAAGGUUACAGAACGAUAUUGAGAAGGCUACUGAUGAAAAAGGUUUUGAUUGUUCUUGGUGAUGUUGACGACUUAUUUCAAAUUGAAACCCUACAUGGAAAGCAACAUUCAUUUGGCGAUGGGAGUAGAAUCAUUCUCACCACUAGAGAUAAGCUAGUACUAAGUCGAGCUGAUGCGAUCUACAGCCCCAAGGUUCUAAGUGGUGAUGGAGCUUUGGAACUCUUUAGCCAGUAUGCCUUUAGAACAAAGCAACCCAAAAGCGACUAUGACCAUCUCUCAAGCCGUGCUGUACAAUAUGCUCAAGGUCUCCCUUUAGCACUUAAAGUCUUGGGGGCUUUUCUUUAUGACAAAUCUGUACAGGAGUGGGAAGAGGUGCUAGAGAAAUUAAAGAAAAUCCCGCAAAGGGGAAUUCAUGAUGUGCUAAGAACAAGCUUCGAUGGACUGGAUGUUUCUGAGAAGGGCAUAUUUCUGGAUAUUGCAUGUUUCUUUAAAGGAGCGGAAAAAGACAACGCAACAAAGGUUCUGGACAGUUGUGGCUUUUAUCCCCAUACUGGGCUAAGAGUUCUAAUUGAUCGAGCUCUUAUAACUGUCUCACGGGAAACACUGAAGAUGCAUGAUUUACUAGAGGAAAUGGGUCGGGAAAUCGUCCGCCAAGAAUCUAUUAAAGAGCCUGGGAAACGCAGUAGGUUGUGGAAUUAUGAAGAUGUUCAUCAUGUGCUAACUCAAAAUACGGUGCGAUAUGUUCAUGACCUUCUUUUUCAUAUGUAAAUCUUUAGAGUAAACAACUUUAACUUUGAUCAAAAUGCAAUUCAUAGAAACAUGCAUUAACUUUAUAAUGUUAAAUAAGAUUCAGGAUAUCUACAGUCACAUAAUUUGAACUAUUUGUUAUCCAGGCUACGGAAGCUGUUGAAAGCAUAAUCCUUGACCUUUCAUUCUCAAAACCAAAAGUGAUAUACUUCAGUUCCGAAGCUUUUGUUAAAAUGACGAAAUUAAGAUUGCUCAAAAUCCACGGCGACAAUCGAUAGUCAUGUGAGAAUUUAAAGUUUCUUCUGCAUGAGUUAAGAAGUCUCAUAUGGAAGCAUUUCCCCCUAAAGUCUUUACCGUCCAAUUUUAUUGCGAAGAAUCUUGUUGAGCUUGACAUGCAAAAUAGUCUCAUUGAACAUCUUUGGGAAGGAGCCAGGGUAAAAACUUAACUUGCAUAUGUUUCUUUUAAAUGGUUUAAUUCUUAGAUGCCUUACCUUGUUUUCCUUGAUGUGUUAUACCAGCCUCUGGAAAAUUUGAAAAUUAUCAACUUAACAAGUUCUCCUCACCUGAAGCAAACUCCUGACUUCACGGAGACGAAAAAUCUUGAGAAGGCAGUUUUUCGAAGUUGUACAAGUUUAUUUGAGGUUCACCCAUCCAUUUCAUCUCUCAAAAAGCUGGUUCUUUUGGAUUUGGAAUAUUGCAGAAAUCUUAAGAUUUUUCCAAGCAGGAUUGGUAUGAAAUCUCUUAGAAUCCUUAAACUUUCAUGCUGCAAUAACCUCGAUAAGUUUCCCGAAGUUUCAAAUGUUAUGCAGGAUCUAUCGAAGCUUUAUUUAGGUUAUACUGAAAUUAAAGAACUGCCCUCGUCAAUUAGUAAUCUUACGGGGCUUGUUGCCUUGAAUAUAAAAGGUUGCAGAAAACUUGAGAGUCUUCCAAGCAGCAUUUCUCACAUGAAAUCUCUUGAAUACCUUGAUGUUUCUAGAUGCUCAAAGCUUGAGAAGUUUCCAGAAAUUUCAGAGGUUCGCCAUCUGAGCUUUAUUUGGGUGGCACUGCAAUUAAGGAGCUGCCUGCUUCUAUUUUAAAUCUCACCAGUCUUGAUACUUUGAAUCUGAAUGAUUGCAGAGAACUUGAGAGUCUUCCAAGCAGCAUUUCUCACAUGAAAUCUCUUGAAUACCUUUAUGUUUCUGGAUGCUCAAAGCUUGAGAAGUUUCCAGAUAUUUCAGAGGUUAUGAAGAAGCUAUCUAAGCUUUGUUUGGGUGGCAGUGCAAUUAAGGAGCUGCCUACUUCUAUUUUAAAUCUCACAAGUCUUGUUACUUUGAAUUUGAAUGAUUGCAGAGAACUUGAGAGUCUUCCAAGCAGCAUUUCUCACAUGAGCAAAUCCAAGGAUCGAGCAUAAUCCAAGGAAACAGUUUCCAAUGGCUCAAUGAAAUAAGACAUGACACUUUCAAUGCAACAAUAUGGGGUUAUCGGUCCUCUACUAACCCUCAAGUUCAUAAACAUUUCAAAUAUGCAAGUCAAAUCACAUUUCAUGAAAAUAUAGAUAGAUGGAAAAAUAUGAAAGCAAUAAUAUUUAGUAGAAAAACACAUUUAUAAAUUCAUGUCAUAUCCACAAAAUAUACUAACAUGAGGAUUUCAUGGGUAAUCACCAUAUUACAUAUAUUAAAGUCAUUCACUUGGAAGUCCGCACUAUGGCUUCCUAGCACGCCACUUGUUUGAUAAAAUUACUGUGACUACUAUCUUGAACCGUCGUGCUCAGUAUCAGACAUACCUGCGAUUUGGGUAUUGCCAUUUGAGUGCUUCAGUAUCCAAAAUGUAGCUAUUAAGUAUGUUGAGUAUUAUUUGCUUCGAAAAUCCUUCAAUUGUUCCCUUAGUUGUUGUUUUUUGGUUGUUUAUCAUAGACACAGUUGUUUCGAAACCUCUUAAGUUGAUUAUAUUGAUAUUUUCAGGUGAUGUGGAGAUGCGCUUGGUUGAUACAUAUUUCCCAUUUACCGACCCAUCAUUUGAACUUGAGAUGUUUUUCUAUGUAUGCUACUGAGUUCGAUCACUUUGAGGGGAAAAUAAGCAUUUCAUGUCUCUCCUGAUAUGUCAUUCUGUUAGAGGUUCUUUCUUUUUCAUGGACGGUACCUAAGAGUAAUCCAUUAUGCAGAAGAAUGUGGUAUUUCCUUACCACGAACAAGUAAUAACUAACCAGAAUGGUACACACUUACGUAAUACAAGAUAAAAAUUAAGAAAACUAAUGAAAAAGAUUUGAAAACUUUGAGUUUUAAAGAUAAAGACAAAAUAAAUGGUAAAGUGAAUAAUACCAGGUUUGACUUUUUAGUGUAAAAAUGUGAUUUAUCGUUAAAGUGAACAGUACCGCGGGCCUUUCGUUAAAACUCCCAUUUAAAAAUUAGUGUACGGAAUAUUGAUUGUUGGAUAGAGACUAUCAUGAAACAAGUUUACUGCCACCAUGAUGCCUGUGGUCACUCAAGGUCAUGUGCAAGGCUCGUUACAUUGCCUUGUAUAAGUGGCUCGCGAGUCCAAGGUGACAGUGAACCCGUUCCACCUAAGUUAAGGUUAAGCACAAAGACAACAUAUCUCAUAACUAUGACAUCCAAAAUGUAGGGUUCAAGAUGAAGUUGAAAUUCAUAACAACAAAAGAGGUUCUUAGGAUGAUGCCCUUUAUGAGGGUGAUCAAAAUAACAAGUGGAGGACAUGGGCAUCAUUAAAUUUGCAGACCUUUUUUCAUCUGCCUUCAAUAUUCAGAUUCAUCUUUGGUAGUAUUCGUGGUGAAAUACUCAGCUUCAACAACUACAUCCAUCCGGCUACUUUCUUAUUUUUCGACUUGAACUGAUCCUUGGAAAUUGAUUGAGCUUUCCCUAAAACAAAGACAGAAAAAUGGAGAAGAAUAACACGCGUAUAAGUUAUGCAGAUGACAGACCUGAUGGAGCAGAAAGAAACUCACAACCAACAGAAAACUUGCUCACCCGGUGAAAAGGUGCAAUCAGCGGUUUCUCUACCGCGGAAAAUGACUACAUCAUUAAAUGUUCGGUAUUAUUAAUCAACAUGAAAACACACACAUCACCGAUUUCCAGACCAUUGUCUUGCACAAAUGUCAUCCAGCCACUCUGGAAUUUCAGUACAGUUUUGCUAUAUUGGUGUAAUUUGACAGGCCAAGUUCUUCCACCCGAAACACGAAGAAUCACAUUAUCAUGAGUCCUGUUUAGAAGAUGUUCCUGGGCAAACUUAGCUUCCAAAUUCUGAAAUAGAAAGAGAAGCAGGUAAGACUAAAUUUGUGAGUAUUUAGAACGUAAUUUUCUUUAGCUUAAUAGUUUUCAAUACAUACUAGCAGAAGUUGUGGAUUCAUCAUCCUAGGAACCUGAUCAGGUCUUCGUUUUACUAAUUCUUUAGUCCAAGACGAGCCACCAAAUUUCUUCAUGUGGGUUUCUGAAGUGCUAAUGGAACCCACUCUGUUUUUCUUUGUUUUCAGGCAUGGUGGAGAAUCGUCCAAGAUUUCAACACAAUCAUCAUCUUCAUCAGUUUCUUCAGUUUGGGACAUUGGUUUUUCCCCGUCUGCAAGCACACCGCAAAAGAUUGAGGUGACAGGUAGUUAAUCUCUACGGCAAUUCCAUCAACUAAUCAGUUCAAAAAUCAAUAGACAACUUUGUGACACGUUGCAACGUGCAGCUUCUGUAGUGUGGAAAAUAACAACAUCCAUUAAACCCUUGAUGUUGUUAAUCAACGCAAAUACACACACAUCACCAAUUUCCAAAUGACUGUCUUGCACAAAUGUAAUCCAACCAUUCUGGAGUCGGACCAUGUUUUUCUGACGUUUGCUUAAUUUGACAGGCCAAGUUCUUCCAUCCGAAACACGAAGGAUUACUUGAUGAUAAUUCCGCUUAAGAAAGUGUUCCUUGGUAAACUUGGCUCCCAAAUACUGAAAAGAAAGAGAAUCAGGUAAUUUGGAGAGGAUUUGUGUUGUAAUUUGCUUGAGCUUAAUUUUCAGUUUCAAAACUAACACACACACAUAUAUAGAGAUACAAUUAGCAGAACUCGUACAUUAUGUCUCUCUACAAAAAGCUUACCACAUAAUGUGCAUGGAUAUAUGAGGGACUCAUAACAACUGUGCAAGAAGGGUAUUCAGAUUUGAAAGCCUUUGCUCUCUGAAGGGCUCUAUUUGUACCACCUGCCGUAACUGGGUUCAUCUUCCUAAGAACUUGAAGAGUUCUUCGGUUCAUUAUUUUUUCAGUCAAAGACGAGCCACCAAAUUUCUUUAUGCGAUUUUCUGCUGUGCUAACUGAACAUGUUCUGUUUUUCUUGUGAGGCUGUGGUGCUGUCGGUGAUUUCUUCUUUGUUUUCGAGCAUCUUGGGAAAUUGUCCAAGAUUUCAAUGGAAUCAUCAUCUUCAUCAGUUUCUUCCGUUUGGGACAUUGUUUGUUCCCCGUCAACAUCUGCAGGCACAUCAUGAAAGAUGAACGUGAUGGAAAGUUAAUCUCUAUGGUACUUCCAUCAAUUAAUCAGUUCAGAAAUUAAAAGACAACGUACCUGGUGGUGAGAAUGUAUGUGCAGUUCCUGUGGCGCGAAAAAUGACAACUUCAAACACAAGUUUAGUGUCAUCUAUCAACACAAGCACGUACACAUCACCAACUUCCAAAUUAUUGCCUCUUACAAAUUCAGUCCAACCAUACUGCAAUCUGAGUUUUGGUCUGGUUGCGAUUUCACAUUUCAUUUCAACAGACCAAGUUCUCCCAUCCAAAACCCGAAGGAUAACGGCACCAGAAUGCUUACCAAGACGCCUCAUGUGGAUACACAAUUUUGAAGGCAGCCACUGAAAAUAAUCAAAUGAAGGAAAAGACGAUAAGCAAACAAAUUUGAUGGUCCAGGAUGGUUGUCUAUAGAGAACUUACCACAGAAUAUCCAUUGAUAUUGCGCUUCAUGGGAACUAUGAAAGAAGGGUUGUCAGAUUUGAAAGCAGUAGCUCUCCGAAUAGCUACAGCAGCUUUUCCUCUUGUAUUCGACGCAUGCAUCCUCCCAAGAACUGUUUGAGCUCAUUUUGGAGUGCUGGAUGUGCCUUCGCCAUGUCUUUUGGAUGCAAACUCAGCUUUGCAUGUCAAAGAACACAGUAGGAUAUUACAAGUUAGAACAGAAUGGCAGAAAGCACAAUAAGGUAAAAAAUUGGAAGCGAAACAUAUGUUGCAUAUUAAUGUUCAAAAUUUUUUUUUUCUGAUUUAGAUUUUAUUGACUUCUCAAACAUCAUUUCCUAAUGUAAUCAGAGUAUUUUUUUGGGUUUCUGGUUUUACCAGUUGAACUUGUUCUGUGCUUCUUAUGAGACCGAGGACAUGACAAUGGAGAUUUGUCCCAUGUUUUUCUUGAGGGGGGACAUGAUGUUAUCCAAGACUUCAACACAAUCAGAGUCCUCAUCAUCAUCCCAAGAACUAUUGCCGGAAUCAUCAUCUUCAUCGGUUUCUUCCAUCUCGGGCAUUGUCAAUGGAUAGUGAUCUCUGCAAAAUCCUUGUCAAAUAUACAAAUGCGGAAUGUUGAAUUCCCUUCAUAUCCGAAAACUAACGAAUGACAGCAGUCUAGAGAGUAAAACUUUGAGAACUUUGGCCAACCCUCGCCGAACCAGACCUCACCCUCCCAUAUUCUGAAUUAUAUUUUCCACUCUGAACCAGUUGGAAGCUUAAUAAAUACUGGAUUCGAAAGAUCAUCUCCAUAUUUCCUAAAAAAUUUGUUUGGAAUCCUCUGCACAACACAGAACUUAUCACGAAACUCUUUGUUUAGUGAAAACAAUUAUCGGAUCUUUGUGGCUAUGAAAUAUAUGGGUACAUUAACUGCAUCAAAUCCCAUUAAGUCAGACUCUUCAUUGUGAGAGGGGUUAAAUACUUUGGUGCCAUUUGAUAACCAUUUCAUUUUCAUCAAGGUAUUGAAGAGAUUUCAUGUGACAAAUGCUGCUUGGAAGACUCUCAAGUUCUCUGCAAUCAUUCAGCCUCAGAGUAACAAGAUUGGUGAGAUUUAAAACUGACGCAGGCAGCUCCUCAAUUGCAGUGCCACCCAAAUAAAGCUCAGACAACAUAUUCAUAACCUCUGAAAUUUCUGGAAAUUUCUCAAAGUUUUGAGGACCCAGAAACACAAGGUAUUGAAGAGAUUUCAUGUGACAAAUGCUGCUUAGAAGACUCUCAAGUUCUCUGCAAUCAUUCAGCCACAAGUGUAACAAGAUUGGUGAGAUUUAAAACUGACGCAGGUAGUUCCUUAAUUGCAGUGCCACCCAAAUAAAGCUCAAACAACAUAUUCAUAACCUCUGAAAUUUUUGGAAAUUUCUCAAGUUUUGAGGACCCAGAAACACAAGGUAUUGAAGAGAUUUCAUGUGACAAAUGCUGCUUGGAAGACUCUCAAGUUCUCUGCAAUCAUUCAGCCUCAGAGUAACAAGAUUGGUGAGAUUUAUAACUGACGCAGGCAGUUCCUUAAUUGCAGUGCCACCCAAAUCAAGCUCAGAUAGCAUAUUCAUAACCUCUGAAAUUUCUGGAAAUUUCUCAAGGUUUGAGGACCCAGAAACAUCAAGGUAUUGAAGAGAUUUCAUUUGACAAAUGCUGCUUGGAAGACUCUCAAGUUCUCUGCAAUCAUUCAGCCUCAGAGUAACAAGAUUGGUGAGAUUUAAAAUUGAUGCAGGCAGUUCCUUAAUUGCAGUGCCACCCAUAUAAAGCUCAGAUAGCAUAUUCAUAACCUCUGAUAUUUCUGGAAACUUUUUAAGGUUUGAGCACCCAGAAACAUCAAGGUAUUGAAGAGAUUUCAUUUGACAAAUGCUGCUUGGAAGACUCUCAAGUUCUCUGCAAUCAUUCAGCCUCAGAGUAACAAGAUUGGUGAGAUUUAAAAUUGACGCAGGCAGUUCCUUAAUUGCAGUGCCACCCAAAUAGAGCUUAGAUAGCAUAUUCAUAACCUCUGAAAUUUCUGGGAACUUCUUAAGGUUUGAGCACCCAAAAACAUCAAGGUAUUGAAGAGAUUUCAUGUGACAAAUGCUGCUUGGAACACUCUCAAGUUCUUUGCAAUCAUUCAGCCUCAGUGUAACAAGAUUGGUGAGAUUUAAAACUGACGCAUGCAGUUCCUUAAUUGCAGUGCCACCCAAAUAAAGCUCAGAUAGCAUAUUCAUAACCUCUGAAAUUUCUGGAAACUUCUUAAGGUUUGAGCACCCAGAAACAUCAAGGUAUUGAAGAGAUUUCAUGUGACAAAUGUUGCUUAGAAGACUCUCAAGUUCUCUGCAAUCAUUCAGCAAUAGCGUAAGAAGAUUGGUGAGAUUUAAAACUGACGCAGGCAAUUCCUUAAUUGCAGUGCCAUCCAAAUAAAGCCAAGACAGCUUAGUCAUAACCUCUGAAAUUUCUGGAAACUUCUCAAGAUUUGAGCAUCCAGAAACAUGAAGGUAUUGAAGAGAUUUCAUUCGACAAAUGCUGCUUGGAAGACUCUCAAGUUCUCUGCAAUCAUCCAGCGUCAAUGUAACAAGAUUGGUGAGAUUUAAAACUGACACAGGUAGUUCCUUAAUUGCAGUGCCACUCAAAUUAAGCUCAGAUAGCAUAUUCAUAACCUCUGAAAUUUCUGGAAACUUCUCAAGGUUUGAGCACCCAGAAACAUCAAGGUAUUGAAGAGAUUUCAUUUGACAAAUGCUGCUUGGAAGACUUUCAAGUUCUCUACAAUCAUUCAGCCUCAGAGUAACAAGAUUGGUGAGAUUUAAAACUAACGCAGGCAAUUCCUUAAUUGCAGUGCCACUCAAAUCAAGCUCAGAUAGAAUAUUCAUAACCUCUGAAAUUUCUGGAAACUUCUCAAGAUUUGAGAACUUAGAAACAUCAAGGUAUUGAAGAGAUUUCAUGUGACAAAUGCUGCUUGGAAGACCCUCAAGAUUUCUGCAACCAUUUAUAUUCAAGACAAGAAGCCCCGUAAGAUUACUAAUUGACGAGGGCAGUUCUUUAAUUCCAGCAGAAUUUAAAUAAAGCACUGAUAGAUCCUGCAUAACAUCUGAAACUUCGGGAAACUUCUCGAGGUUUUCGCACCCUGAAAGUGUAAGGGUUCUAAGAGAUUUCAUACCAAUCCUGCUUGGAAAAAUCUUAAGAUUUCCACAAUUUUCGAAAUCCAAAAGAACCAGGUUUUCGAGAGAUGAAAUGGAUGGGUGAACCUCAAGUAAACUUGUACAACUUCGAAAAACUACUUUCUCCAGAUUUUUCGCCUCCGUGAAGUCUGGAGUUUUCUUCAGGUGAGGAGAACUUGUUAAGUUGAUAAUUUUCAAAUUUUCCAGAGGCUGGUAUAACACAUCCAGGAAAACAAGUUAUAUGGUAAGGCAUCUAAGAAUUAAACCACUUAAAAGAAACAUAAGCAAGUGAAGUUUUUACCUUGGCUCCUUCCCAAAGAUGUUCAAUGAGACUAUUUUGCAUGUCAAGCUCAACAAGAUUCUUCGCAAUAAAAUUGGACGGUAAAGACUUUAGGGGAAAAUGCUUCCAUAUGAGACUUCUUAACUCAUGCGGAAGAAACUUUAAAUUCUCACAUGAAUAUCCACUGUCGCAAUGGAUUUUGAGCAAUCUUAAUUUCGUCAUUUUAACAAAAGCUUCGGAACUUAAGUAUACCACUUCUGGUUUUGAGAAUGAAGGGUCAAGGAUUAUACUUUCAACAGCUUCCGUAGCCUGGAUUACAAAUAGUUCAAAUUAUGUGACUGCAGAUAUCCUGAAUCUUAUUUAACAUUAUAAAGUUAAUGCAUGUUUCUAUGAAUUGUAUUUUGGUCAAAGUUAAAGCUGUUUACUCUAAAGAUUUACAUAUGAAAAACAAGGUCAUGAACAUAUCGCACCUUAUUUUGAGUUAGCACAUGAUGAACAUCUUCAUAAUUCCACAACCUACUGCGUUUCCCAGGCUCUUUAAUGGAUUCUUGGCGAACGAUUUCCCGACCCAUUUCCUCUAGUAAAUCAUGCAUCUCCAAUUUUUCCCAUGAGACAGUUAUAUGAGCACCCAUUUCCUCUAGUAAAUCAUGCAUCUCCAAUUUUUCCCAUGAGACAGUUAUAAGAGCUCGAUCAAUUAGAACUCUUAGCCCAGUAUGGGGAUAAAAGCCACAACCGUCCAGAACCUUUGUUGCGUUGUCUUUUUCCGCUCCUUUAAAGAAACAUGCAAUAUCCAGAAAUAUGUCCUUCUCAGAAUCAUCUAGUCCAUCGAAGCUUGUUCUUAGCACAUCAUGAAUUCCCCUCUGCGGGAUUUUCUUUAAUUUCUCUAGCACCUCUUCCCACUCCUGUACAGAUUUGUUAUAAAGAAAAGCCCCCAAGACUUUAAGUGCUAAAGGGAGACCUUGAGCAUAUCGUACAGCACGGCUUGAGAGAUGGUCAUAGUCUCUUUUGGGUUGCUUUGUUCGGAAGGCAUACUGGCUAAAGAGUUCCAAAGCUCCAUCACCACUUAGAACCUUGGGGCUGUAGAUCGCAUCAGCUCCACUUAGUACUAGCUUAUCUCUAGUGGUGAUAAUGAUUCUACUCCCACCACCAAAUGAAUGUUGCUUUCCAAGUAAGGUUUCAAUUUGAAAUAAGUCGUCAACAUCAUCAAGAACAAUCAAAACCUUUUUCAGCUGUAGCCUUUUCAAAAUCAUUCUGUAACCUCGAUCCAAAGUGCCUAAACUCUGCACCUUUUCAUUCAGGAUUCUAGAGAGAAAUUUUUCCUGCAUAUGUACGGCACCACAAGUGGAGAAUUCUUCCUUAACAUUGUCAAGAAAGCAACAAGCUUCAAAUUGACAAGCAAUUUCCUCAUAAACAGCUCUAGCUAUGGUGGUUUUGCCUACACCACCCAUACCCCAUAUUCCAACAACACGAACGUCGUCCAUUUGAGGAGCAGGAUGUAAUAGCAAGUCCAUUUCAUGCAUGUGGGAAUCCAUUUCAACCAAGUCAUCGUCUUUACUUGACGAGGUGCGGAUCAAUUUCUGAAAAAUAUCUUUUACAAUUUCCUCAAUGAGCUUCACAUCAUCCCUGUGGAAUAAGAAAAACAUUUUUGUAAGAGUGAGAUCAAGAGCAAGUGCAAACCGUAUACAUAGUCAUACAUUUGCUAGGAAAACAUGACAAAUAAUUAAUACUAAACGUUAAAAAAAUCCCAAAUUACGAAACUACAAUAACUAAAUAUUACUCAUAAUUUUUCGAAUCCCAGCCGGAUAAAUUGAUGGCUCGACUAAGAGCGGACCUCCACCUCCGCACCUCUUCCAUGUCGGUGUUUGAAUGGCCUUCAUGCUCGGCAAAAGCUUCCUCAAAGCUCCUCUUUGCUUUGCGGACAUCAGAAGGAUCCACUUGGUAAAAAACGGGCACAACCAUCUGGUUCUUUCGAUCCAUACAAUCCAGUAUUUGGACGAGCUCCUUCAAGCACCAUGUGGAAGAAGCAUAGUUUUGAGAAAAAACUACGAUUGAAACGCGCGAAUCUUGGAUCGCCGUCAGUAGCUGCAAAAGGUCGUUGCCCUUUCGGAGCCCUUCGGCAUCAAUGAAGGUGUUGAUUGCUUUCUGAUUCAGGGCUUUGUAGAGGUGGCUGACGAAGCACCUGCGAGUGUCUUCCCCUCUGAAAUUGAUGAACACGUCGUAUUUCCAAGGAGAGCCAGAGGAAGAAGAAGAUGCAGCAGCAGCCAUUAAUCGAUCGAGUAAUGUAAGAACUGAAACACUCAAUUGAUCUUCACACUGAUCUGCACAUUGAUCUACAAAGGAAGCAAUGAGAAAAUGACGACCUUUCUAGCUGUUGAAGCCAAUAAGUCAAUGACGACCGCAUCACGCGUUUCCAUGGUCCCUUGCUUUUGGGAACCGACUUCUUCAAUCCUUUGGGCCUCAACACGAUUGGACCUAGACGGGCUUAGUUGUGUCUGAAGAGGAGACUAACGCAAUAAAUUUCAGGGGCGUAUAUACUUGAGAGUUAACAUGGUUAUUUCUUUGCAAAUACCAUACAACCUGUAAACGAGUCGGGUUUAUUGGGUUUGGGUCGGGUUCAAACUGACCCGUUAAGUUAACAGGUCAUCCGAACCCAACCCGUUAAGCUAACGGCUCACUCGAACCCGACCCGUUAAGCUAACAGGUAAUCCGUUUCACCCGUUAACAAUUAUUAAUUUUUUUUUUUUUUGCAUAAGAGUUUAUAUUUUGUUGUUAAGACUUUAUUGAAAUUACUAAAAUAUCUUCAACUAACAGGUGUUAACGGGUGUUAACGGGUGCUAACGGGUCUAACGGGUUGACCCAAAGUGACCCGUUAUUUAAUGGGUUGUUAACGGGGUUCACCCGUUAGCGACCCGACCCGUGAAGCAUCCACCUAAAUACUAAUGUUAACUGGUCGGAUCGGGUCGAAUCGAGUCGGGUUAACAGUUCGGGUCCAAAAUGCCACGUCUAACCAUACUGACCAUAUUGUAUGAAGUUCAAUACUUUUGUCUUUGUCAUUAGGCAGCAACAUGCCUACAGGUUACAUCUAUUAUGUUAAAAUGGUUUUGUUUAUUGUCAUUAGGCAGCAACAUGCCUACAGGUUAUAUCUAUUAUGAUAUCUUAAUACUGAGUUUCCCUAAUGGACCUAUAUUGGUGUUUUAUUGUUCUAUGCAAAAUACGACAUGUACAUACUAUGCCAUAUAGAUAAUUUCUCUUCUAUUUUCUUUGUGUAGGCAUAUGAUCUUUAGUAUGAGAAAUUAAAUAAAUUUAACUGAAAAUAUGACUUUAGUCCCUGAAACUUAAUUUUUUCCACAUAAAACCCAACAUAAGUUUUUUAUUGGAAUAAAAUUCAUUAACUAAAUUCCAUAUCAGCAAAUUCAUUAAUUAUAUUUGACUUUACACAUUUAAAAAUUUUUUUAUGCCCAAAACACCUCUAUUUGAAUGUUUGAUUUACACAAUUAAUUCCAUACAAAUUGUAAGGGAGAAUUAAUGAUUUUACAAAAAUUAAAAAAAUAUUAAAUUCAUUGCAUAAUAUAUAAUAUACAAUAACAAUAAAACAUGCCUAAUAAAUGUAGUAAUACAUGCUUAGUUAAGUCAAUAAAAUUAUAUUUUACAUAUAAAUGUAGGUAAAUUAUUUAACACACACAUAUAUAUAACAACAACAAAAAACAUGCCUGACAUACAUAAAAAUUCAUGCAAAAUAAUUUUCCUACAUAAUAAAGCAAACCCAAAUAUAUGCAAAAUAAUAUACCUACAUAAAAAAAAUUAUUUUAUUCAAUACUAUUUAGCUAUUAUUUGUACAUAUAAUAAUAAAAAUGUGCCCAAUAUAUAUGAUGAUAUGACACGCCCCGACCCUGAUAUUCCCCGAAUACCAGGAUAGACACGUGCUGGCCGACACCCGAAGGUGACGAAAGCCAUUAAUUGAUACAAAAGCUGAGAAUAAGAAGUAAAUAAGGGUUAUUAAUUUAAAAACAAUGAAUUAAUAAUUUAGGAACGUGUUCAGAGCAUACAACUAUACCUAAUCACUAAAAAGAAUUAAGAUAAAAUUAAAUGAAAAAAGGAGUAAGUCCUACAUCGAGAGGAUCCGAAGAUGCUGCUAUAGAAAUGCUUUGACGCUGGGAUUAGGUGCCUUGAUCCUAAGUCCUGAAUGGGGACGCAAAACAAAGGUGAGUGGACCAAGUUUAUAUAUGUAAUAAAAAUAAAACAGUUAUCAAGAUACUAACCCCCACAGUUUAUAUAAAGAAAACUACUAACAUAAUAAGUAAUAGAUUUAAUAAAAAUCCUAGCAUGCCAAAAAUAUCUCAAAAGUCAUAUCGCGGAAUAUCAUCGCAGAAAUCAAAACAGCAAACGUCUCAUAGAUCGUCUCGUAAGCGCAGUGUGCUGCUAAAAAGAUCACUAAAUAAAUAUAACUCCCGGCCCAAUGCCUGCUCCGUGGUCUCUGCGCCCGUAGCUAGAGAUUACCAACUCCCAGCCCAAUGCCUGCUCCGUGUCCCUCAGCCCGUAGCUAGGGAUUAUUUCUCCCAGCCUAAAUGCCAACACCAGAUCCUCGCCCCAGGCGGCAUAGUGUCCACUAGGUACGCACAAAUAGUUACGCCUCUAAAAAAUAAUCACUUCAUAGUAUAAAGUCAUUCAUCAUCUAUACUAUAAAGAGAGGUUUCGAAAACAUGUUUUAGCAUCCUAUCGUCAUCCAUCAGAUAGUCUACCAGUUCAUGGUUUUUAUAGAAAAUACGAUAUAUUAAAAUAUAACUCAAUAUAGGCCAACAAUUAAUUCCUCACCAAAAACACGAGACGAAAAUCAAUAUAUUUAAUAAACAGGCUUGACAUCAAUCAAAUCAUAAACUCGUAGGCAUGCUAGUCAUUUAUGCAAUUAAACUAUAAAAUCAUGUAAUUUUAGAAGGGGUCCACUCACAGUACUUCGCCGUCGAAAAGUCACACAGCUAGCGAAGACAGAAACGCCACUAUAAUUGCCCCUAAGCACAUAAAGAGUCCAAUAAAUAAAACUAUACAAUAGCAAUUGAAUUUGGGAAAACGAACAUUGGAAACAGAUUCAGAACGUCGAAUUACCCUAAGAAGGGGCCCAAUUAAAUUUCAUAAACGUCGAUAGAAUAUUCCUAGAAUAUUCCCUGACGGAAUAUUCCCUAAUAGAAUAUUUCCUACAAAGGGUUUGGACCGGUUAGGUUUAAGGGUUUAGGGUAAUGGGGUUUAAAGGGUUGGCUUAGGAUGCACAGGCCUAAGGCCCUAAAGGAAAAUGGCCUAAAGGCCUUUGGUUUAGUAAAUAAAAAUAAAAACAACUUAAAGUACAGAAUUUUUGGGUUUUAAGGAGGACGGGCCUAAGACCCUGGUUUAAAAUGGCCCAAGGGUCUUUUACAUUAAAACAAUAUUUAAAAUAAAUAAUAAAAACUGAAAUGGGUUUUGGGUUGGGCUCGACAGGAAAGGCCCAAAGGGAUUGGGUUUGGUGGGUCGCCAGAUUUAAAGGGAGGAGAAGGCCGGAUUUCGGCCGGAGAAUUCCCAAGCUCCGAUGGAGCUCAAAACUCAACCAAAACAUGUCAUUCAAUAUACCAAAUUGAAGCCCCAAAAGUAAGGAAUCGAAAUAUACCCUUGGUUCCCAUCAUCGUGGUCGGAGUUCGCUGAAAAAUGGCCUGGAAAGCACGGGUUUGCCGAGAAAAUUGGGCUUUCCGCCAGAAUUUGUGGGCAACAUUUAAACAUCAAUAACUUUGUCAAUACUUAACGAAAUCAAGUGAUUCAAAUAUGAAAGUUGUAGCCCUCGAAGAGACGAAGAGAAUGGUACCUUACACGAUGUCUAACUCGCCGUGUUUUGGCCGGAAAAUGCCUCGAAAGUCUCGGAGGUCGUCGGAAACUGGGUAAGAUUCAAAUGAGUAUAACUUCUUCAAUACUCAACAAAAAUGAGUGAAACAAAAAGGAAAGUUGUAGUUCUCAGUGAGACGAAGAGAUUAAUACCUUACACGACGGCCAACUCACCGUGGUUUGGCCGAAAAUUACCUCGAAAGUCACCGGAGUCGUCGGGGGAGACUUGGGUGUUCUCUGGGUGUCCCAGAGCUUCGUCGAGAUGGGGGAGAGAGAGAAGAAAGUUCCAUAGGUGAUGGUGGUGGCGUAGCUAGGUAGUUGUGGUGGUGGGUGUGUGUGUGUGUGGGUGCUCACGGUGAUAGAGAGGGAGAGAGAUAAGGGAGAGAAAGAAGAGGGCUGAGAGAGAAUGAAGAGUGACGGGAAUGGGGGACACAAAACAGAAGGUGGGCCCCUUGGGCACACCAAGAAUUAAAAACCAUUUUAAAAGCAAGAUAAUCACAAACUUAGUGAAAAUACAAUUUAAAUUAGGGGUGGGUGUAACAAUCUACCCCCCUUAGACCAUCUCCAACCCUGGGCUAAAAGCCAAAUUACCCCCCCCAAAUUACCCCCCAAACACUCUCCAAUCCAUGCUAAAAUUUUAGGCUAAAUGCCAAAUGCUAUUUCUGGGCCAAAUACCCCCCAGCUUUCCCCCCGGGCUAAAUGCGAAAUGUUUAUCGGAAUUUAAAUUUUUUUAGAUUAAAAUGUUCAUAAAAUUAAUUUCCAAUAAUCUACAUAUUUAUUUUAAAAAAAAAAAUUGAUUUAAGAAAAAAAUUUAGGCUAAUUUCAUUCUUUAAUAAUUCCGGGCUAAAAUUUUAGGGUAGAAGGGUUGGAGCAGAAAAGAUGUUUCUGGGCUAAAAGCUAAAUUUUCCGGGCUAAAAAAUUUGGCUUUUAGCCCAAGGGUUGGAGAUGGUCUUAAAAGAAUUUCGUCCUCGAAAUUUAAAAUCACAUACCACACUGGAAAUACUCGAAAAUAGGAAGAAAAAGAAUAAUAUACAUAUAUGUAACGAAGAGAUUAGGUAAGAGCGGUUGCACAAAAGGAAAAAUGUCAUCCCGUCGCGAUCCGGUUGCAAUGAUUCCAUCUUCCGUGCCUCCAGGCUCAUACUUUCUUUCCCCAUCAGUGUAAAAAAAUAGAAAACAUACUUUAAUAAAAUAUAAAGUUGAAAACACAAAAUAGCUUAAGGUCAGAUAACGUCAAAAUAGAUAUGUACUAACAUAUAGGUCAAAAACACGAACCAACUUAAAACUGAAAAGAAAAUAUUUUCUCCAAAACAUUUGUAACGAUAAAAACAAAUAACUAGUAAUGGAAAUCAAAAUACUUUUACCGAAAAACCAAAACUGAAAAUGAGAGUGGGUCUUGACGAAGCAUGCGAAACAUCACGUACUCCGAGAAUAGAUGUGUCUUUGGGUCGAGUCCCAAGAAUAACAAUUCCGAAUUUGCAUCAGCUGCUGUAGACGAAUCUUCUUGCCCACUUGCUUAACGAACCCAACAAAUAAGCUAUCGAUAUACCGGUCAGCCGCCCGUGAUAUCGAUCACACAUUUGUUGUCUCGAUAAGCAAGCAGUAAUUUCCUGAGGAUGAAUAAUUUCACACGUCGUAAAUUCGAUCCUCCGAAUACAAGCGCACACAACUCCUCUAACAACCAAUGUUGCAUAUAGCAACUUUCAUACCAUGUCACAAAAGUGCCAUACCCCAUACUGAACAAAACAGAGACUGUUGUCGUAAAACUCUAUCCAACACCAAGCAUCCUAUCCUCCUCAGUUCUUCCAAAUGUGACCAACUACUCCAGAAUUUUGCCAAUAAAUAACCCAUUUGAAAACUGUACAUUGGGAUUCAAGAGAAGUGGCUACCAUGUUAGUAGUAGACCCAAAAUCUCGAACCAAGCAAGCAAAAAACGAGAAGUCAUCUUCCUUAACAUGCAGUAUCUCUUGGGAACUGUUGUAGUGCUCAAUCCACCUCUCCAUUUUUGCUUAGUUGCAUAUUUCUAGUCAACCAAGGUCAAAGUUGGUGGAAAGAAGAACGACUCGCAAAUGGUCAACCUAAAAACAAAAGAGAGUACACACAUUUCGAGAAAAGUGUAAAGAUUAUCCAAUUUUCGCUUCGAUCGUCCUGUAGUGCCAUCCCAGAAUGCACCAAACAGAUCUGCUAGAAGUGUUUUAACAACCACGUACUCACAACAAUAAGGUUCAGAAGUGAAGCUGUGGAAAUAUACGUUGAGACGAACACAUCACAUCAUCAAAAAGGUCUACCAGAGUAAGAUAUGAUGGUUAUGAAUUGUAGCAAGAUAAUGAGUGGUGACCAUUCAAUUUAACAUGAAGAUAGUGAUGCAAUCUGCUGAUCACCUGCACUACAAUCUUCACCAGUUUCUUACCAAAAUACAGCUUAAACCUCAUACCCACAUGGAACUCUUUCUGGUAAGUCUGGUAAGCUUGUGAAAAGAUUAUGCUCCCAACAUUCUUGUCCAAAUCGAUAAGAAUUGGGCGCACACUUCCAUCAAAUCCAUCGAUCGUGAAUUCCCCACUAAUUGAGCGAGAAACCAUGUCGGAAAGGCUGAGAGAAUACUCCAGAAUUUGAGGGUCAAAACAAGUCCAUUACAAUCCAGAGUACAAGAUAUCGAGAUUUGAACUAGAAACCAUGCCAAGAACAAAGGUUUAUUUUUUAUUUUUACACCAUCCGUAUGUUCCGGCAUGAUCCAGUUCACAUUGAGAAACAAACAAGCGAAGGAAGGUAAAGAUGCAGAAAUAGAAGUCACUGUUUAUGAUUAUUUGUUAAAUCAUCACAGUAUGGUCAACUGGUUUCUUAACCAAAAAGGAAAUAGGUCCAAACUCAGGAAUAUUUAAGAACUGAUAAUAAGAUUUGACGAGGCCAAAGACAAUUUGAAAUUCACAACACUUUAUGAGAGUUGUUUAAAGGUUCACAAAUUUAAAUAUAAAACCUCUGAAUCAACAUAAUGACGAAGAAGAAAGACACGAAGCAACCUGCGUAUGCAUGCAGUGACACGAUUAGCUACCUUAAAGUAAUGCUCUUGAGCAAACCAAGGCUCAAUGAGUCCAGAGAAGUUUAGAGCAAAGCUCGAUCUUCAUACAAUGAUGAAUAUGGAAGAGUCUCAAGCCAUUACACUGAAAAUUACAAGGUUGAACAUUUAGUGGACAAGAGUACUGAUCAGUUGGGCUACAAGCAAGAAGCUAAGUCCUUCUCUAUCGAAAAGUACAUGGACAAGGAGCUAGUGUUUUUCACCGAGUACCAAACCUAGGUGAAGCUCAAGGAAUCUGUUUAUCCAAACAAGUUUGGAUCUUCGUCAUCUAAUUCCAACUACGACAACAAUAAGAAUUACAACUCAUUUUGGAAAUUAAUGAGAAUAGUAUGUUACUAAGGAGUUUCCCGAGAAAAGCAAUUAAUGCAAAUGAAGUCAACACUCGAAGAAUUUGGUGUAAAGCUGACGGUCAAAGGAUAAGGAACUUGACUUCGUCGCUAGAGAAAUAAAAAAGGUUAUCGAUAGAAUAAUCGUCGAGGACUUGUUCUAAAUAUUUACACGAAUUUCUUCAGUGGUAAUGAAUCUGAUAAAAUUGCUUUCAUCCCACCAAUCACCACUUAUUAGACUUCACAACAAUUAGCAUUUGCCGCUUUCUCUAACACGCACUCCGAAUAUUUCGAGCAAUUUCCAAGAGAUAUGACUCUGCCCAUCAUUCCCAGGGAACGCAUGUCGCAGAGUAUCAUCCUAUGUUGAAAGUCGUCCAACAAUCCUCUUCAUCACUAUUAAGGUACAAUCCCGACACGAAUUCUUGAAUUUCAACAAGAAGGUGACAAUUCAAACAGAGAAAGGUUUGCACAAUUGCGCCGAAUGACACCAAAUCUAUAAGUCCUGACAUCCAAAUGAUGUCAAAACCGACACUAAAUGAGAAUUGAAUAGGAUCCUAAGUAUGCUCUAAACAAAUCACGCUCUGAUACCAAUCUGACAUGCCCCGACCCUGAUAUUCUCCGAAUACCCGGAUAGACACGUGCUGGCCGACACCCGAAGGUGACGAAAGCCAUUAAUUGAUACAAAAGCUGAGAAUAAGAAGUAAAUAAGGGUUAUGAAUUUAAAAACAAUGAAUUAAUAAUUUAGGAACGUGUUCAGAGCAUACAACUAUACCUAAUCACUAAAAAGAAUUAAGAUAAAAUUAAGGGAGUUUUAACGAAAAGUCCACGGUACUGUUCACUUUAACGAAAAACCAUAUUUUUACACUAAAAAGUCAAACCUGUUACUAUUCACUUUACCUUUUAUUUUGUCUUUAUCAUUAAAACUCAAAGUUUUCAAGUCAUUUUCAUUAGUUUUCCUUAAAAUUAAAUGAAUAAAGGAGUGAGUCCUACAUCGAGAGGAUCCGAAGAUGCUGCUACGGAAAUGCCUUGACGCUGGGAUUAGGUGCCUUGAUCCUAAGUCCUGAAUGGGGGCGCAAAACAAAGGUGGGCCCCUUGGGCACACCAAUUAAGAAUUAAAAACCAUUUUAAAAGCAAGAUAAUCACAAACUUAGUGAAAAUACAAUUUAAAUUAGGGGUGGGUGUAACAUGAUACAUACAAAAUAAAAUACCAACAUAAUGAAGAAAUGUUAUUUGAUUCAAAAUUAAUUUAUUUACAAAAUAAAGCAAUUGUAUUUUAUUCAAGAUUAAUUUACCUAUUAUUUGUACAUAUAUCUUAUAAUAAUAAAAUGUGUCAAAUAUAUGUAAUAAUACAUGGAAAAUAAAUUACAUACAAAAUAAAAGAAUGUUAUUUCAUUUGCUCAUCAUAAAUUUAAAUAUAGGUAGAUUAAUUAGUUUAAUAUGUUUGAUCAUAUAUGUAGUAUUGUGCAUGUAUAUGUAUAGGUAAGCUAUAUAUAUAUAUAUAUAUAUAUAUAUGUAGUACUACUAUACGUUCAUAUAGGUAAAAUGUAUGUGUGUGUGUGUGUGUAUAUAUAUAUUGAGCUUCUGGUAGUAAUAUAUACAUUUGAACGUAUAUAUGUGUAUAUAGUACUACUAUACGUUCAUAUAGGUAAACCAUUUAUGUCACAUCCCGUCCUGGGCCCCCACCACAUCUCGGACUCGACUCCACCGUAGCACGAUAUUGUCCACUUUGGGUCCCGACCACACCCUCACGAUUUUGUUUCUGGGAACUCAUACGAGAACUUCCCAGUGGGUCACCCAUCAUGGGAUUGCUCUCGCGCGAACUCGCUUAACUUCGGAGUUCCGAUGGAACCCAAAGCCAGUAAACUCCCGAAAGGCCUCGUGCUAUAUAGAGAUGGGAAUAUACAUAUAAGGCUUACAUGAUCUACUCCCCUGGGCGAUGUGGGAUGUUACAAUCCAACCCCCCUUAGGGCCCCGAUGUCAUCGUUGGCACAUUUCCGGCCAGGGAUUAACUCUAAUACCAAAUUGACACAUCCCGGCUCGGGCCCCCAUCACAUCCCGGGCUCAACUCAAUCGUAGCAAGAUAUUGUCCGCUUUGGGCCCCGACCACGCCCUCACGAUUUUGUUUCUAGGAACUCACACGAGAACUUCCCAGUGGGUCACCCAUCAUGAGAUUGCUCUCACGCGCAUUCGCUUAACUUCGGAGUUCCGAUGGAACCCAAAGCCAGUGAGCUCCCAAAAGGCUCAUGCUAGGUAGAGAUAGAAAUAUACAUAUAAUGCUUACAUGAUCCACUCCCCUGGACGAUGUGGGAUGUUACAAUAUAUGUGUGUUUGUGUAUAUAUAUAUAUAUAUAUAUUGAGCUUAUCGUAGUAAUAUAUACAUUUGAACUUAUAUAUGUGUGUGUUAGGGGUAAUAAUAUGUGCAAUAAUGAUAUUUUCAUUGUAAUUAGUAUUUAACUUGGCUCCUGAACAAUUCAGCAGCAUCAAAACUUUAACACGUGUCCACACGAGAUUGGGUAUAAGCAGGAGUGGCUGCUGAAUUGUUCAGCAACCAAGUCUUGUUCUUGUAAUUAAGGUGAGUAAUAACAUUUAUUGAUUUUAUUUUGAAUAUUGUGGUACAAAUCGUAAAUAUUUUGUAAUAAUAGGCCAAUUACUUCUAUAAUUGGCAUUCAUUUUUAAAUUUAGGUUUUUUUUGAAUGUUUAUAACUGUGGGUUUUUAUUUUGGAAAUAAAAGUUGUAAAAGUCUAUAGCUAAACCUAAGCUAAAAUCACAUUGACGUUUAAGUUCAUGGUAAUUGCACUAGAUACCCUUUCGGCUGGUCUGGGACCUGGGUUGUGGGGUGGGCUGGGCUGGGGAUGUGAGAAUGGCUUCUUUGUGAAUAUGGGCAAGCAAAGUUUACGUGGCUUCGCAUGACAGGUGCAACGUGGAAGUUCAUACACCAUUGAGCCUUUCAUCUUUUUUUUCUCGAUUUUUUUCUUUGAAUAGUAAUUGCCCUAUUGGAAGUCAACCCGUUUGUGAAAAGCAAGGGCAAGGCACUAUUAAAAAAAAAUUUAUUUUUUAUGUUUUGAUGAGUUUGUUUUAUGAAAAUAAAAUGAUUAUCUGAUUUCUAUAAUAUAUUUAAAAUACAAGGAAUGAAGAUGAUGGUUGGUACUUAUAGAAAAAAAUUUGGGUAUUUUUUUGGUAUUUUUUUAGUUUUUGGGUAUAUUUUUUGAAUUUUUUUACCUUUAGAAUAAUCUUGGCCGUUCAAAAUCCAAAAUUAUUUAUAUUAGAUGCCCCAAAUUGCGCUGCUUCGCAGCUGCAUAAAAUUUUGCAACUUUUUUUAUUAUUGGAAAUCCAACGGCACAAGUUCGAGGAAAAAUGAGUCAUUUGGCUUUGGGCUGUGCACGUGGGUGGGCCCCACUUUGUCGUCUCCUGUAGCCAGCAUGUGUAAGCUCAGACAAAAGUUGCAGGGGCAGCUGAAAGAGCACAAGCCCUUGGUCCAAUUGCCCUCCAUUUUUUGCACUAGUGGACCACCUUUUUGCAGCCAAAGGCAAUUCAACCCAAUUGCCUUUUCGCUUGGGCAACCGGUGGACUUGCUCUUAAGAAGGCAAAGGCAAGGGCAAGGGCACGUAAAUUGAAAGUGAUUACCUUUGUGUAAGUCCACCUGUUGAGUUAAAGGCGAGGACAAGGACAAUUCAUAUUUACAAAUGUGUUUUUUUUUUAAAGCAUAAUUAAGUGAUUUAAUAACUAGCGGUCACGUUAGAUUUUUGAUAUGGUAGUGAAGAAGAUGGUUGAGUGUCUAUAGAAAAAUAUAUAUUAUUUUUGUAUUUUUAAAUAUAUUUAUAUUUGAAUUUUCAUUAAUUUCUCUAAUUUUUUAAAACCUUUAUUCGAAAUUUUAAAUUAUUAAAAAAAAAAUUGAACAAGAUUAAUUUUUGUUGUUGAAUCUUAAGACCGUUUCAAAUCCAACUGCCCAUAAAAUGCCACGUGUAUAGCUGUUGGGGAGCUGAGUUGCUUUGAUAGCUUGGGGGCCUAUGAUAGCAGCAACAGUCAACCCACUAUCUCCCAUCACGCGUCAAACACAAAAAAUAAAAAAUAAAGAAUGUGGAUGACACCAUGUUAACGCCAGCCUUACCCACUAGCACAAGGCCGAGCUCAAGCUACUAGAGCUUUUGGACAGGCAUGUGUUGGCCCACCAAUUGCCCUCCACCAAAUGGACUGCUGGAAGUGGUUUUUUGGAGGACAAGAGCAAGGCAAGGGCAAGGGCACUAAAGUUGCUUACAAAUUUUAUAACUAUAAGAUCAUGAAAAAAUACCAUAGGCGAGCAACUUGCACAGGAUGAAUUAACAUUCAUAAGUAUAUUCACCAAAGAUGUCUUUCUUGCAGAGUUUAUGUUGCACACUCUAGCUUGCAAGACCAAAAUGUGUUAAUAUGGAGAACAACUUGCACAGGAUGAGUUCAACGUCACUUGAAGUCUCAAUCCAAUAAUAUCAUAUCACAUUGAAAAAAACUUAAACUUGGUAUGAUAUUAUUGAACUAGGACGCCCAAUAUCGAUAAUCCUGUUCCCAUUAAUAUUUCUCGUUAAUAAUGGGGGAUUUGGGUAUAGUAAGACAUUAUUGUACUAGGACGCCUCGGUAAACCUGUUCUCAAUUAAUAUAUCUCAUUAAUAUGAGGGAUUUGGAUUUGGUAGUUAGAGUCAGAGUAUACUACUGACACAUUGAUGCAUUCAUGUACCACUGCACUACAAUGACUUCAAGAACAAGCAAUAAGUUGUGAACUGAAUUAAUAACGAUUGAGUUGGCGGACUGAGCAUUUAAUUCUACAAGCACUUAAUUAGUUUGCCAGUCUACCUUCUUCAUGCUAGUCCAUAAACUGGAGCUGGGCUGAGUGAUCUGCUUGCUGACAACUUUAAAGCUUUGAAGCAGAUCUUCAAGCUUUUGAUGAACUUCAAAAAAUGGCUUCUUUUCACCGGAAAAUUCAUGACUUCUCUUCAAAAACACAUCUUAAAGCUCCCCAUUUUCUAGUAGUUAUUCGGAAGUCUAUUUGUACACAGACCAAACUUGUGAGUACCUCUCUUUCUCUAACCGUAGUCUGUACCUGCUUACAUUUAUGCAUGUACUCGUAUUGUCCCGGUUAGAUAUGUUUGUCUUUCUGGUUGCACAAAGUUUGAGGUCUUUCCAAGCAUUGAAGAAAGUAUGGAAGGAUUAAGAGAGCUUCACUUGGAUGGAACAUCUAUCAAAGAACUUUCCCUGUCAAUUGAACAUCUUCAGGGCCUGGUGUUAUUAAAUCUGAGAACUGCAAAAACCUUGUUCAUCUUCAAGACAAUAUCUGUAAUUUGGAAAGCCUCAGAGAUCUCAAUCUCUGCGGGUGCUCAAACCUUUCUAUGUUGGCUGUGAACUUGGAGGAUUUAGAAUCCUUGCGGGCGCUGGAGUAGAAAUGGUUGAGCACAGGGAUUAUAUUCUGUUCUUUUAAAUUGUAAAUUGUAAUACAUACUCCCAAUCUCUUGUUUUACUAUAGUAAUUGCUGGCACCAACCUGUUUUUCCAAUUUGCAAUAAUUAUGUCAAUUUGCAAAAUUAGCUGGCCACAAUAAUUAUAUCAAUUUCUACCACCUUUUAUUUUUGUUUUACCAUAGUAAGGUGCUGACCGUGUAGGAUGGAUAUGUUAUGCUAACAAAUUAAACUGAUUUAUUUUAAAUUAAAUUGAAACAAUCGGAAGACUCAUGACAUUAUGUGUGUAGGUUGAAAGGGUAAUGAUGCACAAUUGCUCUGCUGAAGAAAAAAUUGCAAGAUGGAAGGCUACACAGAGCAAGAAGCUGCUGUGGGCACCGGUGUAGAACAAGAAUGUAGAAAGUCAAGACUCACAGUUUCUAAAUAUCUCUCAUAUAUUGAUUCAAUGUAAUAAUCUUACAGUAUGCAGCAGUGUAUAUAUAGACAGUACACUGCUCUAAUUACAAUUAUAUCCUUGUCUAAUCUAUCUAUUUACAUAAGAAACUUAACACACAUCUAACUAAUUUUACUUGACUCUUUACACCCCCUCAAGCUGAACUUGGAGGCAUCGAAAGGUCCAAGAGCAAGCUUGGAUUGCAAAUACAGAAAUCUGGAUUUAGACAGAGAUUUAGUAUGAAUAUCAGCUAACUGAACAUGAGAACACACAUACUGGACUUUGAGAAGAUUAGCAAGGACCAACUCUCGGAUAUAAUGGUAAUCAAGUUCAAUAUGUUUGGUUCGAGCAUGAAAGACUGGAUUAGACGCAAGAGAGAUGGCAGACAGAUUGUCACACCAGAGAGAAGGGACUUGAGGAAGAUGAAGGCCAAGAUCUUUGAACACUUUACAAAUCCAUGUGAUUUCAGCAGCGGUGUGCGCUAACGAUCUGUAUUCGGCUUCAGUUGAUGAACGAGCAACCGUAGGUUGCUUCUUAGCACUCCAGCUAAUAAGAUUGGAUCCCAGAAAUAUGCAAUAGCCACUAGUAGAUCGGCGAUCAAAAGGGCAACCAGCCCAAUCAGCAUCAGAAUAGGCAGUAAGAUGAACAGUCCCUUUCUUGAACCACAAACCAUGACUCACAGUGGCUUUAAGGAAUCGGAGAAUACGUUUGGCGGCUUGAAGAUGGGGUUCUCGGGGAGCAUGCAUAAAUUGACAGACUUGAUUGACAGCAAAAGAUAAAUCAGGUCGUGUCCAAGUUAGGUAUUGCAAUGCACCGACAAUAGAUCUGUAUUCUGUGGGAUCAUGCAACAAUGGACCGGUGUGAUCAAGUUUAUGAGAGCCAAGAGGAGUGAGACAUGGCUUAGCACCAGCCAUGCGGGUCUUGUGAAGUAAGUCAGAAAUAUACUUGCUUUGAUGUAAGAAAAGACCAUCAGCAGAUCGCUGAACCUCAAGACCCAAAAAAUAAUGCAAGGGGCCUAAAUCCUUCACAGGGAAAACAGUACUGAGUUUCUGAAUGAAACGUUGACAAGCUGCAGUAUUAGGACCUGUGACAAGUAUGUCAUCAACAUACACCAAGACAAUAACAGGAACACCGUCUUGGAGCACAAAUAAAGAAGCAUCAGAUUGAGAUUGAUGGAAGCCCAAGGACUUAAGGACUGCAAAUAAUUUUUCAAACCAGGCCCGAGGGGCUUGCUUCAAGCCAUACAAGGAUUUGCGAAGCUUGCAGACAUGAUGGGGAUAAGUGGGAUCACUGAAUCCAGGAGGUUGCUGCAUGUAGACAUCUUCUUGAAGGUCACCGUGCAGAAAAGCAUUACUGAUAUCCAAUUGAUUGAGAAACCAGUCAUGUUGAACUGCAAGAGAGAGAAGAAUGCGAAUGGUGAUUGGUUUUGCAACAGGACUGAAUGUUUCCUUGUAAUCCAAACCAGCUUGCUGAUGAAAUCCUUUGGCCACAAGCCGAGCUUUGUAUCGAUCUAUAGUGCCAUCAGGAUGUUUCUUGACCCGAAACACCCACUUACAUCCAACAAUAUUUUGUUGGGAGGUAAAAGGAGCGAGAGACCAAGUGCCAGUGGACUGCAGGGCAUUGAUUUCAUCCUGCAUAGCAGACCGCCAAUGGAUAUGUUUAGAGGCCUGAAGAUAAGUAGUGGGGAUAAUAUCAACCGUAUCAGGUAAAGGGUGUUUGGUGGCUGAGUAGGCCUUGGGUUUAGAGAUACCAGCUUUAGACCUAGUGAUCAUAGGAUGGGUAUUAGGGACGGAAGAAGGCUCAUGAGUAACAGGAAGAUCCUCUGGAGGUACCGAAACAUCAACAGGUACUGGAAGAUUUACUUGAGGUACUGGAACAUCACCAGGUGCAGGAAGAUGCACUUGAGGGACUGUAGAGGAACCAGAUUGAGCAGCAGGUAUGGUAAAUUGUAAAUUGACAGAGGAAUUCACUGGAGAAGGAUCAGUAAGAACAGGAGAUGCACCAGGAAAGGCAGAAGAUAAACUCUGAAAUGGAAAGGUAGUCUCAUCAAAAAGGACAUGCCGAGAGAUAUAGACACGUUGUGUGACUGGAUCAAGACAACGAUACCCCUUGUGUUGAAGACUAUACCCAAGGAAAACACAGGAUGUACUUCUGCUGGCCAACUUGGACGUAGUAUAAGGUCUGAGCCAUGGAUAACAACAACAACCAAAAAUUCUGAGCCGAGAAUAAUCUGGAGAAGUGCCGAAGAGAAGUUCCCAAGGGGAUUGCAGUACACCACCAAGGGGAAGUCGAUUAAUCAGAUAAGUAGCAGUGGAAAAGGCUUCAACCCAAAACCUAUGAGGCACUUGAGAUUGCACCAAGAGUGUACGAGCAGUUUCAACCAAAUGACGAUGUUUCCGUUCAACACAUCCAUUCUGCUGAGGAGUAUGAGGACAACUAAAUUGUUGGAAAAUGCCAUGAAGUUUAAGAAAAUGCUGAAAUUGGUGACUAGUAAACUCACCCCCUGAAUCAGAGCGAACAACCUUUAUUUAUUACCAAUAGCGUUCUCUACAUAGGACUUGAAGUCCACAAAGAUUGAAAAUACAGAGGACUUGGACUUUAAAGGAAAAUACCAGCUAUACUUGCUGUAAUCAUCAACAAUAAGCAAGUAAUAUCUAUAGCCACUCACUGAUACAACAGGAGAUGGGCCCCAGACAUCACAGUGCAACAGUUCUAGACUUGCAGUAGAUACAGAUUGAGGAGAACCAAAAGGAAGCUUGUGAUUCUUUGCUAAAGCACAGUCUUUGCAGAAGAAGGCCAGAGAGGAUGUGCCAUGGACAACAACUUUAUUGGUAGACAAAACUUUACGAAAAAUAGCAGAAGAUGGAUGACCAAGUCUGCUGUGCCAUAUGCGAACAUUAGCAGCAGUACUUACAAGGGCAGUAGGAGAAUGAGAGACAGUGGAGAGAGCAGGUGAACCAUGAAGCGGAAAGAAUCCAUCUUUAACUUGGCCCCGCAAAAGCGUCCUCCCCGUAAAACGAUCCUUGACAGAGGAUCCAUUAAUAUCAAGAGUCAAAGAACAAUUAUUAUCUUUAAUAAACUGAUAAGCAGAGAGAAGACUAUGCUGCAUUUGAGGCACAUGAAGAACAUUGUGCAGUUUAAAAGAGUGAGCAGGAGUAUGUAAAAUAGAUGUGCCAAUAUGAUCUAUAGACAGACCUUUACCAUCUCCGAUGUACACCUUGUCUUCACCAUGAUAGGGAGUAGGAGAUUGGAUAUUGGAUAUAUCAUUCGUAAUGUGAGAGGUAGCACCCGAGUCGAUGAGCCAAGAAUUGGAGGACUUUGCAGUAUAAUGAGCACACAUGGCAGCAAGUUUAGCUGGAGAAAACUUGCCUGAGAUUUCUGGAUUCAUUCGGUCGAAGCAAUCAAGAGCUUCAUGACUGGUAGAACCACAAAUUUGACAAGAAGUUUUGUGACCGGAAGAAGAAGCAGGACGAUUGAAUCCAGAAUUAUAAGAUCCUCGAUUGAAACCAGAGUUGAAAUUACCACGAUUGGAACCACGAUUGUAGUUGCGAUUAGAACCACGGGAAAAUCCUCGGUUAGAGCCACGAGUGUAGCUUCUGGUAGAAUUAUACCGAAAAGAAUUCUGAAGUGGUGAUGCGCCAGGAUUUGGAGCAACCAGAGCGUGUGGUGGUGGUGUAGGAAGGAGAGGCGCUUGGCUUUGCACAGAGAAAGCAUGAAAAGGCUCAGAAGAAGAAGAUUUCUUGCGACGCUCCAUGGAUAACUCCUUAGUGAGCAACAAGCCAUGUAAUUCAUCCAACGAGGUAGAAGAAAGACGAAGUAAGAUAGAAUCAGUGAAAGAUUCAAAAUCAUCAGUGAGACCGGCAAGAGUCGCAGCAAUGAGAUCACGAUCGGUGACAGAGGCACCAGCGGCAGUGAGAGAAUCUGAGAUCUCCUUGAUUUGUUGAAGAUAGUCAGCCAUGGAUUGAGAGCCUUUCUGAAUAUUUUGAAGCUUCGAACGCAAUUGAUGAAUGUGUGCAUCCGAGACACCACCAAAACGCUGCUCAAGUUUGAGCCAGAGAUCACGAGCAGAGGAAACACCGACGGUGAACGGAAUGAUUUCCUCAGAAAGCGUCGAAUUGAACCAGAUAAGCAGAUUCUGAUCUUUCUCAUACCAUUGCUCAAAAUGUGGAUUGAUUGAGCGAUCUGGAAGAAAGGGAGAGGGACAGGGCUCAGUGCCAUCAACAAUCCCUAGAAGCUUGUAGCGACGAAGAAUCGGAGCAAACAAGGCCCGCCACGGCAGAUAAUUGGAUCGCCGGAGCUUGAUCGGAACCAUACUGCCAAUGUUCUGAAUCGUGAGAGAAUGAUACAUCUGAGAGGUAUUGAGAUUUGGGGAAGAAGAAUUAGGGUUUGAAGGAGGCACCGACUCAAUUGGAGAAGAAGAAUCAGAGGGAGACGCCAUCAAGAUGCAAGAAAAAGAAAUCAAGAAUCUGAAUCAGACGCAAACAAUCACGUCGGAGAAGACGAUCAGAGAGGAGCGGAAGAUCGAAGAAGAAAAUUGCAGGAUCGAAGAGAGGCCGUGAGGCGGUUUGGCGAUGGUACCAUGUAGAAAGUCAAGACUCACAGUUUCUAAAUAUCUCUCAUAUAUUGAUUCAAUGUAAUAAUCUUACAGUAUGCAGCAGUGUAUAUAUAGACAGUACACUGCUCUAAUUACAAUUAUAUCCUUGUCUAAUCUAUCUAUUUACAUAAGAAACUUAACACACAUCUAACUAAUUUUACUUGACUCUUUAAAGAAUAUGUGGCACAGGUAAUUUUGCAAGCUUGGCAUGAAUCUACUGAUUAAAACAAAACCAAAAUUUGGGCUUCUUAGGAAACUCAUACGCAUUCAAUUUUCAAAAUGAAGAAUUGGGCUUGAAGUCAGAUUUCGUUGUAUGAACUUUUGAUUUGGUAGAUUUUCUUAACGGAUUUGAUCAGAGUUGUGAACUUGGUAAAUUUAUGUUGUUGAUAGAAUGCCUACGACUUUUCAUGGUUAUCAUUCCUUUAAUAACUCAUGUGAAGAUAUAUGGUUAUUUGAUCGAAAUUAAUAGGUGAAUAUCUUUGUUCUGCAACUUUUCCUUUUAGCUGGAUUGAACAAUUCGUUCGCAGCAUGCUAUCGUGAUUUGUCUAUCCUUUGGUAUGAAGCUGAAAGUUGCAGUGCCUUUAUCCUUUUGAUUCACUCACUGUAAGCCUACUUAGCUCCCGCUGAAGCCCUUCAAGUCAAGCUAUCUACAGCUCGAAGUUUACUUUUAUUUUUAGAAAUGUUUAUUCAUUUUUAUUAUUUUCAGCUGAAAUCAAUAGAAAUGAACUUCAAUUUGAUGAUGGAAUGCAUGGAAAAUGUGGGGGAGAGCCUUCUCUCGCUCUCAAAUCCGGCGAAUCACGUCGCACCACCAGCGUUCCCCCGCUUUACUGAAGGUAAGCGAUUCAUCCUACUCGAAAUUUCAAAAAUUUGGAGGGUUUUGGUUCCUUUUCAAUACCAAUUAGAUAAUCAAUCUGUACGAAUGGAUUUGAUAGAUUGAAGCACUGUGGACCUGAUUGGAGUGUCUUUACUUACUUAGGAAAUUCAAGAAAUUAAGAAACAGCUGGAUGAAUAUCUUUUUGUAUUAUAUUAUUGUUCUCAUAACGAUUUUGGGUUCAACCACGUGGCGCCCAGAAGUUUGUCUUGGUGAUUAGAAAUGCCAUUGGCGGCCUACCCGCUUUCCUUUUUGCUUAAUUUAUCUUAAGAAUGUUUGCAUCCUAAUACAUCCUUUAAAUAUGUUAAUUUGUCCUAUUUUCUAUAAAAUUUUGAGCAAUGUGAAUGUGGGUUAUUCUCAAUCUUCAGAUGGUGAUCAUUUCACAAGUUUUGCAAACAUGGCUACUCAGCCUUUGACAUACAGAGUUGAUGAUGGGAGGAGCCAGGUGAGCUAGGAUCGGGGUUUGUAUCGUUCUAAAUUAUUCGUUAAGUUACGGAAAAAAGAUAUGGUUGUCCAGUCUAGUUUUGUAUUUUCAACAUCUUAAACAUUUUCCUUUGAUACCGCUUCGUUUUGAUUUGUAAACAAACUAUAUCUUUAUCUUGGGUCACAAUGUGAUGUUUAACAAUUUUUCAAAAACUUACAAUUCCUAUCACAUGCUCAAAUAUUAUGUCUUCUACUUUUCUGUUUUCCUUUUUUUGUGUUUUUCCCCAUGCAGUAAGCUGAUCAUCUGAAACUAUGAGUAUAAUACUAAUGACAAAAUACAAUCUACAAAUGAAUGCUUUCUAUAGCAUCAUUCUCUUCUAUUCGAAACUUAUUUAAAUUCACUUAAUUUUUUCUCACACUUAAUAUCAUAUCAGCUCGGUUUACACAAGAAAGUAGAAGAUACAUUAUCUGUGGCAUGCUAUGUACAUGUCGUAUUUUGCAUAGAACAAUAAAUCCGUUCGUUUCAUUGUCUUCCAUAUGACAAUGCUACUUAUCUCAAUAUAAGAAAAGAGAAGUAUAAUAUUCCAUUUUAUGCAAAGAAUUUGUUGUACGCUUCCAAGAAUAUAAAACACCAAUAUAGGUUCAUUAGGGUCACUCAGUAUUAAGAUAGGGAAUUGUUACUGACUUUUAAAAAAUCUUAUUUUGCAUUCCGAACUUUUUAUAAUUAAAAAGAAUAAUAGACUUGUAAGGAGUAUAGAAUAAGAUUCUUGAAGUGCUAAUAACAGUUUUAUUAAGAUAUCAUAAUAGAUGUAACUGUAGACAUGUUGCUGCCUAAUGACAACGACAAAAGUAUUGAACUUCUUACAAUAUGAUCAGUAUAUUAAUUGACAAGAAAUAACGAUGUUAGCUCUCAAGUAUAUACGCCCGUGAAAUUUAUUGCGUUAGUCCCUGAUGGUCCCCUGCUUUUGCUUUUCAUUAGUUUCUUUAUUUUUCUAAAAGGUGAUAAAGACAUGCACCUAGAAAAUGGAAACUGCACCUAAAAAACAGAACCGCGUGAUGUUGUCUGUCAUUGACUCAUUGACUUCAAAAGCUAGAAACGCGUGAUGUGGUCGUCAUUGACUCAUUACUUCCUUUGUAGUUCAGUGUGAAGAUCAAUUGAGUGUUUCAGUUCUUACAUUACUCUUAGAUACUCGAUCGAUUAAUGGCUGCUGCUGCAUCUUCUUCGUCCUCUGGCUCUCCUUGGAAAUACGACGUGUUCCUCAAUUUCAGAGGGGAAGACACUCGCAGGUGCUUCGUCAGCCACCUCUACAAAGCCCUGAAUCAGAAAGCAAUCAACACCUUCAUUGAUGCCGAAGGGCUCCGAAAGGGCAACGACCUUUCGCAGCUACUGACGGCGAUCCAAGAUUCGCGCGUUUCAAUCGUGGUUUUUUCUCAAAACUAUGCUUCUUCCACAUGGUGCUUGAAGGAGCUCGUCCAAAUACUGGAUUGUAUGGAUCGAAAGGACCAGAUAGUGGUGCCCGUUUUUUACGAUGUGGAUCCUUCUCAUGUCCGCAAAGCAGAGAGCAGCUUUGCGGAAGCUUUUGCCAAGCAUGAAGGCCAUUCUAACGCCGACAUGGAAGAGGUGCGGAGCUGGAGGUCCGCUCUUACUCGAGCCACCAAUUUAUCCGGCUGGGAUUCGAAAAAUUACGAGUAAUUUUUAGCUAUAGUAGAUUCAUAAUUUGGGAUUUUUUUUUCUUUUAACGUUUAGUUUUAAUUCUUUGUCAUGUUUUCCUAGCAAAUGUACGACUAUGUAUACGGUUUGCACUUGCUCUUGAUCUUACUCUUACAAUAAUGUUUUUCUUAUUCCACAGGGAUGAUGCCAAGCUCAUUGAGGAAAUUGUAAAAGAUAUUUUUCAGAAAUGGAUCCGCACCUCAUCAAAUAAAGACGAUGACUUGGUUGAAAUGGAUUCCCGCAUGCAUGAAAUGGACUUGUUAUUACAUCCUGCUCCUCAAAUGGACGACGUUCGUGUUGUUGGAAUAUGGGGUAUGGGUGGUAUAGGCAAAACAACCAUAGCUAGAGCUGUUUAUGAGAAAAUUGCUUGUCAAUUUGAAGCUUGUUGCUUUCUUGACAAUGUCAAAAAAGAGUUCUCCGCUUGUGGUGCUGUACAUAUGCAGGAAGAACUUCUAUCUAGGAUCUUGAAUGAAAAGGUGCAGAGUUUAGGCACUUUGGAUCGAGGUUACGGAAUGAUUUUGAAAAGGCUACAGAUGAAAAGGUUUUGAUUGUUCUUGAUGAUGUUGACGACUUAUUUCAAAUUGAAACCUUACUUGGAAAGCAACAUUCAUUUGGUGGUGGGAGUAGAAUCAUUAUCACCACUAGAGAUAAGCUAGUACUAAGUGGAGCUGAUGCGAUCUACAGCCCCAAGGUUCUAAGUGGUGAUGGAGCUUUGGAACUCUUUAGCCAGUAUGCCUUUAGAACAAAGCAACCCAAAAGAGACUAUGACCAUCUCUUAAGCCGUGCUGUACGAUAUGCUCAAGGUCUCCCUUUAGCACUUAAAGUCUUGGGGGCUUUUCUUUAUAACAAAUCUAUACAGGAGUGGGAAGAGGUGCUAGAGAAAUUAAAGAAAAUCCCGCAAAGGGGAAUUCAUGAUGUGCUAAGAACAAGCUUCGAUGGACUAGAUGAUUCUGAGAAGGACAUAUUUCUGGAUAUUGCAUGUUUCUUUAAAGGAGCGGAAAAAGACAACGCAACAAAGGUUCUGGACAGUUGUGGCUUUUAUCCCCAUACUGGGCUAAGAGUUCUAAUUGAUCGAGCUCUUAUAACUGUCUCACAGGAAACACUGAAGAUGCAUGAUUUACUAGAGGAAAUGGGUCGGGAAAUCGUUCGUCAAGAAUCUAUUAAAGAGCCUGGGAAACGCAGUAGGUUGUGGAAUUAUGAAGAUGUUCACCAUGUGCUAACUCAAAAUACGGUGCGAUAUGUUCAUGACCUUCUUUUUCAUAUGUAAAUCUUUAGAGUAAACAACUUUAACUUUGAUCAAAAUACAAUUCAUAGAAACAUGCAUUAACUUUAUAAUGUUAAAUAAGAUUCAGGAUAUCUACAGUCACAUAAUUUGAACUAUUUGUUAUCCAGGCUACGGAAGCUGUUGAAAGCAUAAUCCUUGACCUUUCAUUCUCAAAACCAAAAGUGGUAUACUUCAGUUCCGAAGCUUUUGUUAAAAUGACGAAAUUAAGAUUGCUCAAAAUCCACGGCGACAAUGGACAUUCAUGUGAGAAUUUAAAGUUUCUUCUGCAUGAGUUAAGAAGUCUCGUAUGGGAGCAUUGCCCCCUAAAGUCUUUACCGUCCAAUUUUAUUGCGAAGAAUCUUGUUGAGCUUGACAUGCAAAAUAGUCUCAUUGAACAUCUUUGGGAAGGAGCCAAGGUAAAAACUUCACUUGCAUAUGUUUCUUUUAAAUGGUUUAAUUCUUAGAUGCCUUACCAUAUAACUUGUUUUCCUUGAUGUGUUAUACCAGCCUCUGGAAAAUUUGAAAAUGAUCAACUUAACAAGUUCUCCUCACCUGAAGAAAACUCCUGACUUCACGGAGGCGAAAAAUCUUGAGAAAGUAGUUUUUCAAAGUUGUACAAGUUUAUUUGAGGUUCACCCUUCCAUUUCAUCUCUCAAAAACCUGGUUCUUUUGGAUUUGGAAGAUUGCAGAAAUCUUAAGAUUUUUCCAAGCAAGAUUGGUAUGAAAUCUCUUAGAACCCUUAAACUUUCAUGGUGCAGAAACCUUGUUAAGUUUCCCGAAGUUUCAGAUGUUAUGCAGGAUCUAUCAGAGCUUUAUUUAGAUUAUACUCAAAUUAAAGAACUGCCCUCGUCAAUUAGUAAUCUUACGGGGCUUGUUGCCUUGAAUAUAAGAGGUUGCAGAAAACUUGAGAGUCUUCCAAGCAGCAUUUCUCACAUCAAAUCUCUUGAAUACCUUGAUGUUUCUGGAUGCUCAAAGCUCGAGAAGUUUCCAGAAAUUUCAGAGGUUAUGAAGAAGCUAUAUGUGCUUUGUUUGGGUGGCACUGCAAUUAAGGAGCUCCCUGCUUCUAUUUUAAAUCUCACCAGUCUUGAUACUUUGAAUCUGAAUGAUUGCAGAGAACUUGAGAGUCUUCCAAGCAGCAUUUCUCACAUGAAAUCUCUUGAAUACCUUGAUGUUUCUGGAUGCUCAAAGCUUGAGAAGUUUCCAGAAAUUUCAGAGGUUAUGAAGAAGCUAUCUGAGCUUUGUUUGGAUGGCACUGCAAUUAAGGAGCUACCUGCUUCUAUUUUAAAUCUCACCAGUCUUGUUACUUUGAAGUUGAAUGAUUGCAGAGAACUUGAGAGACUUCCAAGCAGCAUUUCUCACAUGAAAUCUCUUAAACACCUUGAUGUUUCUGGAUGCUCAAAGCUUGAGAAGUUUCCAGAAAUUUCAGAGGUUAUGAAGAAGUUGUCUAGCCUUUAUUUGGAUGGCACUGCAAUUAAGGAGCUGCCUGCUUCUAUUAUAAAUCUCACCAGUCUUGAUACUUUGAAUCUGAAUGAUUGCAGAGAACUUGAGAGUCUUCCAAGCAGUAUUUCUCACAUGAAAUCUCUUAAAUACCUUGAUGCUUCUGGAUGCUCAAAGCUUGGGAAGUUUCCAGAAAUUUUGGAGGUUAUGAAGGAGCUAUCUAAGCUUUGUUUGGGUGGCACUGCAAUUAAGGAGCUGCCUGCUUCUAUUUUAAAUCUCACCAGUCUUGUUACUUUGAAGUUGAAUGAUUGCAGAGAACUUGAGAGUCUUCCAAGCAGCAUUUUCAACAUGAAAUCUCUUAAAUACCUUGAUGUUUCUGGAUGCUCAAAGCUUGAGAAGUUUCCAGAAAUUUCAGAGGUUAUGAAUCUGUCUAGCCUUUAUUUGGAUGGGACUGCAAUUAAGGAGCUGCCUACUUCUAUUUUAAAUCUCACCAGUCUUGUUACUUUGAAGUUGAAUGAUUGCAGAGAACUUGAGAGUCUUCCAAGCAGCAUUUCUCACAUGAAAUCUCUUAAAUACCUUUAUGUUUCUGGAUGCUCAAAGCUUGAGAAGUUUCCAGAAAUUUCAGAGGUUAUGAAGGAGCUAUCUAUUCUUUGUUUGGGUGGCAAUGCAAUUAAGGAGCUGCCUGCUUCUAUUUUAAAUCUCACCAGUCGUUAUACUUUGAAGCUGAAUGAAUGCAGAGAACUUGAGAGUCUUCCAAGCAGCAUUUCUCACAUGAAAUCUCUUAUAUACCUUGAUGUUUCUGGAUGCUCAAAGCUUGAGAAGUUUCCAGAAAUUUUGGAGGUUAUGAACGAGCUAUCUACGCUUUGUUUGGGUGGCAAUGCAAUUAAGGAGCUGCCUGCUUCUAUUUUAAAUCUCACCAGUCUUGUUACUUUGAAGUUGAAUGAUUGCAGAGAACUUGAGAGUCUUCCAAGCAGCAUUUCUCACAUGAAAUCUCUUAAAUACCUUUAUGUUUCUGGAUGCUCAAAGCUUGAGAAGUUUCCAGAAAUUUCAGAAGUUAUGAAGAAGCUAUCUGAGCUUUGUUUGGAUGACACUGCAAUUAAGGAGCUGCCUGCUUCUAUUUUAAAUCUCACCAGUCUUGUUAUUUUGAUGUUGAAUGAUUGCAGAGAACUUGAGAGUCUUCCAAGCAGCAUUUUUCACAUGAAAUCUAUUAAAUACCUUUAUGUUUCUGGAUGCUCAAAGCUUGAGAAGUUUCCAGAAAUUUCAGAGGUUAUGAAGGAGCUAUCUAUUCUUUGUUUGGGUGGCAAUGCAAUUAGGGAGCUGUCUGCUUCUAUUUUAAAUCUCACCAGUCGUGAUACUUUGAAUCUGAAUGAUUGCAGAGAAUUGAGAGUCUUCCAAGCAGCAUUUCUCACAUGAAAUCUCUUAUAUACCUUGAUGUUGCUGGAUGCUCAAAGCUUGAGAAGUUUCCAGAAAUUUUAGAGGUUAUGAAGGAGCUAUCUAAGCUUUGUUUGGGUGGCACUGCAAUUAAGGAGCUGCCUGCUUCUAUUUUAAAUCUCACCAGUCUUGUUACUUUGAAUCUGAAUGAUUGCAGAGAACUUGAGAGUCUUCCAAGCAGCAUUUCUCACAUGAAAUCUCUUACAUACCUUGAUGUUUCUGGAUGCUCAAAGCUUGAGAAGUUUCCAGAAAUUUUAGAGGUUAUGAAGGAGCUAUCUAAGCUUUGUUUGGAUGGCA